rnacentral:lncRNA from 1 species
AGAGAUCAGAAUCUUUUGUUAGAGUCAUAAAGUGCAAUGUUGAAGAGGUUGAGGGAAUAGAACCACAAGCUGUUAAGAUAUGUUCAGUAGCGCGUAAGAUGUGGAGAAUGUAUCAAGCUGACGUAAACAGCAUUAUGUUAAAGGUUCGUACUUUGCAUACAUCUUUAUCCUUUUACAUAAACAAUACUUAUAAGAUUCUCCACGUGCAGGUUCCUUCAAGCCAGAGGUACGUAUAUUUUUCCGGGAGUGAGAAUGAUAGGAAAUCAGUACAUGCCCUCAAGAAAUCCAUCAUCAAGUCAAGAGAGCUCUCUUCAUCAAGUUCUGCACUUGAAGAAACUAAAUUUGUUAGACACAGUGUAAACUUUAUGAAGAUCUGGAGCAGCGAGAGAGAAUUGAAAGGUCGAUGUUCGUUAUGCAGAAAAAAGGUGCUUUAUGAUUUACCAUACUAUACUUGUUGCAGUCAAGAUAAUUUAAUGGCACAUUCUCAACAUAAAAAGUUUAUUUUGUCUAUCAGGCAUCAGAUGAUGGUGGAUUGUGUAGCAUUUGGAGGCCCACUUGUCCAGACGGGUAACUAUUAAAUUCUUCGUAGCACUUUUUUGUCUUAUGUAGAUUAGAGUUUGUAUUUACUCAAAAGUCUUAUUUCUGAAUCUGAUUGCUGUAGCUUCCUGUGUUUACAUGAAAUAUGUAGCCUUUACGUUCAGAAUGUUCUGCUGGUGCUAAUCACUUGUGACCCGAAAUUACGGAAGUGUUGUAAACCUUGAAAAAUACUUAUUUUAUGAUAAAUGGUAGCACCUAUUACAUUUAGUGGUAAAAGUACCAUGGAGGUCCCUGUAUAGGAGUCACAUUACGUUUUGUCCCUCUACUGAAAAAGGAAAAAUUAUUCUUUAUACAUUAGAUCAAAGACCAAAUUGGCCCUUUCUGUUAAAAAAUUUAUCCAUUUGUACUGUUAAAAACUGGCAUGGUUGAUGGAAUAACCAAACAUUGACACGUGGCGUGUCAUGUGUACCUCAAGUUGACCAACAUGGACUAGUUUUUAACAGCAGAAAUGGAUGUAAUUUUUAAUAGGAUCAGUUUGCUCUUUGAUCUAAAGUACAAAAACUAGUUUUUCCAUAUUUUGAGUAAAGGGGGAAAAAUGCAAUCAGAUUCCUAGUACAGGCCUCCAUGAUACUUUUACUGACUUUAGUCAUUUCUUGAUGUACAUUGCUAUCUAGUGAACCAUGUUAGUACUUGUUGCUUCUUUUCCCCCUUAUUUGUUUUUAAAUAUCAAGCAGAAUAAUUUUAUUUCCUUCAGGUAUGUCUCUGUCGGUGACAUAGCUCGUGUUGGGAACCAUCCUCCUAAUGUUGCAGCUGUUUAUCAAAGCAUCGACAAGCUAUUUGCACUUCCCGUGGGUUAUGACUUGGUAGGAAUAUCGGAUUCGAUCUUUCAAAUAGCCAUCUUGAGGACUUUUAGGAGCUACUUAAUGACAUCCUGUUUUAGUUGCAUGAAUUCAAAUCGUCAUAUUUGAGAGUUUUUUGCAGGUGUGGAGGAAUUGUAUGGAUGACUACACAACUCCAGUGUCUAUUUGGUAUCCAAGAGCUCCCGAAGGAUUCAUCAGUCUCGGUUGUGUUGCUGUACCAGGUUUUGAGGAGCCAGAACCCGACUUAGUACAAUGUGUGGCCGAAGUAAUAUUGGAGGAAACUACAUUUGAAGAGCAAAAAAUAUGGUCUGCACCAGAAUCAUAUCCAUGGGGUUGUCAUGUUUACCAAGUCAAAAGUGAAGCUCUUCAUUUUGUUGCUUUAAGGGAAAGUAAAGAAUACAAGGAUUGGAAACCCAGGAAAAUUCCUGAUCAUUUCCAGCCUCAGCAAUCAUUAGAAGAAGCUCACUGAAUCUUUUUUUUUUUGUGCCAUUUUUUUAGAUUGAAUGUGAGAUGUAUGUAUGUAUGUACAAAUUGGUUUGACCUUUAAGUAUUGUUAAUACCAAAAAUCAAAGAUGUAAAUGAAUCCCAAUAAGCAUUUUUUUGAUAAAGCAAAGAAGUAUAUUUCAACAGAAGUUUGACUGUUUUUUUAGUUUACUAAUUAGCAGUCAAGAUAAAUUUGAAUAGUUGGUACACUGGCAGGUUGGAUUUAAGACGAGUUUAAGAAUAAUAUUAACAUGUAAAAUUUUGUCCAUUUAUAUAUGACUAAGUUUAGGUUAUAGUGCUAUAUAUCACUAUAUAUUAUUUUUUAUAUAUAAUGAAUUAUAUAAUAUUACUUUAUAAUAUAAUAUAUCAUAAAUUUAAAAUGAUUUGAACUAUUAUCUAUAUUUUAAACGAAUUUAAUCUUUUGACAAUCUAUUUUUGAGUUUAAUAUUUUAAUCCUAAACUUGCAAAAUUCAAGGGGCAUAAUAACAUUUUAGACUUUUUAAUUUUAUAAAAAAAUUAUUUUAGUCAUCCAUUUAAUAGAUGUGAAUUGUUAUAUAAAUAACACACCAUAUUUUUAAAUUUAAAAAAUUAAUUAAAUACUAACCAUAUUUAUAUCACAUCAAUAAAGAUAAAAAUUAAAUAUGGGGCUAAAAUGACGUUUUCUAUUAAGUUGGGAGCCAAAUAAAUCAUUGUACCAAACUUUUGAGCGAGUACUCCUUCAUGAUUAAGUCCAGGGUAGAUAUUGUAUUACAUCUAACAACAAAAUGAAUAAUAUACAUAGAUCCGAAAACAAAAUGAGAAAUGAAAUAGCAAAACUUUUAUUCCUUUUUAACAAAAAUUUGAAAUAGACAAAGAAACUUCAUCCUUCUAUCAAUCAAGUACAACCAAUUUCUGAUACUCUUCACCAGAAAUAGCAGCUUCCAUAACAGCAACAGGGUUUAUAUCACCAUCUUCAUCCAAAAACAUCUUUAAUAAAUUCUUCGAAAAUCCACUAACCAAAGCAACCCCUUUUUGAGUUGCAGGCACUGGUGUAGCCCUUGAAUGUCUCAAAUUCCAAAACACAAUUUGUGGGAUCACAUCUCCAUACCCUUUCUCUGUAAAUUUCUUUACAAUAACAUCAUAAUCAGUCUCCCAUGGUGACAUUGAAGCUUGAUCAAAUUCCAUAUCACUAAACACAAACAACCUUUUAAUCAUUUGUUCUGGUUUUAAAUUCCCUUCAACAGCAACUUUCAAUAUAAGAUCAAAUACUUUUUGAAAAUCAGUGUUGCCACCCCAUUCCAUAUCUCUCACAAACUGUGUUUUUUCCUUCAAGUUUUCACCUUCUACUAAUUUAAGUUUAGGGCUUUCACUAAAAGUUAUAAGCUUUCCUUUCCAUGGUUUUUCACUUAAAUCCGAUACCAAUACGCCUAAUGCGACUGAAACUUCCAUUGGUGUCCCGUGCAUACUACCGGAAACAUCGGAAACCGCCAUACAAUUACGAAGUUUACCUUUUUGUAAUAAGUCAUUCACCAUCCUCUGCCAUUGAAGCUCUGCUACUUGCUCAACUUGUUCGUCGUCGGCUUUGUUUAAUUCAGCGAUUAUUUCGUGUGGGAGUAAUGCACCGGAUGCGAUAGUCGACUUACCGGCUUUUACGUCUUCUAAAUACUUCGAAAACCGAUCUUUAUCGUGUUUUAAAAACUUCUCCUUGUAAAACUUCAUUGCUAUAGAAGCUACUCUGUUGUAAGGGAUUGAAUCCCAUUUAUUUGCACCAAUGUAUACUUCUGGUAAUUCUAAAAUUUUACGCAGUGGCACUAACACAUCUUUUCUAAGCCGAUCACGAACACGGUAAGCAUAAUGUUCUUCAUCGAUUCCUUCAUAUUCAGGAUAAUUUUCUCGAGAAAAUAUUUUCUUGGAAAUGCUUUCACAUAACAAUGUUGAUUUAUCAAAUGAAGAAUCAAUUGAAGGACACCAUUUUGCAGCAAGACCAAUCUUUCUAGUUUCAUUAGAUUUCAAAAACUCCAUAUCUGAUUUAAGACAAGCAGCAAAAAGAUCAGAGACACGUUCAUAAAGGAACCUGAAAUCUGGGUCUCUUGAAUAUCGCUCGAUCACCUUUUUAGCCAUUGAAAUCUUCUUUUCCUUUCUUAAAUCCCUUGCUUUUGCUUUCUCCAAAUUCGGGUUUGUAGCUCCUUUGGGUUUUGAUUUUUCCACUUUUUGCUUCAUUGAAUAACAACGGCUUCCCUCUCUGAAUAUCCCCAUCUUUCUCAUCAACCAAUCUUGUUUUUGAACCUGUCUAACCGUAGAUCCUUCAAGCAAACGAUACAGAAUUUCGGGUAAAUCCUUGAAAUACCCAAAAUUAACAAAGGAAUCCAAAUUACAAGCAAGGGUUUUAGGAUGAUGAUCGUGUAACCAAAACGCCGCCGUAUAAAACCCUUCCUUGUCGGAUUUCCCUGUACCACGAACACCACGUAAGUUACAAAUUAGCUUCAGAGUCAUCAAUGGAUCAAAAUUCCAAGCUCGACCCAACAUUUCUCUAAUGGAAUCGGGAGGGGAAUUAGGUACCACAUGGAAAAAAAAGUCAAGGCAAGGGUUGCCGGUGGCUAAAUAAGUGGCUGAAUUAUUUUCGGUGAAUCCCAUCGAAGGUGUGUUUUUGGCUUUAUUGAAAUUAGCCAACAUUAGAUCCAUGAAUGGAUCGCUUGGAACUUUAGUGGUGGUGGUGGCGACAGUGGUUUCAGGCUUUGGAGGAGUGGGGUGGCGGAGCUCCGGUGGGCCGAGAAGAGACGGUGGCGACAUUGUUGAUGAGGGCUAAAGAAGAAGAAGGGAUUUUGUUUCGAAUGUAGAGCGACGUGCUUGAAUAUGGUUUAUUUAUAACGUACGCCUUACCUUGGUCCCCAAGAAUAUGAUUAUUUUUCUAUUUUUACCCUUUUAUCUAAUAGGAAAUUUCUCUUCUUUGAAAUUUUAUUUUUGUAUUAUCUUAAUAAUUAAGCAAUAAAUUAAUUUAUUGUCAUGGAAAAAAAAUUAUUUUUGGAAUAAUUACAUGUACGUUACAUAAUUUCAAAAGGCUUUAUUUUUUUUCAUAAAUUGGCCCUUAAACUAUGAUUUUUAGAUUGGUCUUUAAAGGAUUUGUUUGCAAACUACAAAAAUAAUCACUAAAUUUUGGUGAAAUUUCUUUCUUUUGUCACUGAACUAUAAAAAGUUACAUUUUAGUCAUUAAAGUUAUCGGUUUAUAACGUUUUGGUCAUUCGUCCGUUGAUGGUCGUUACAAUCUUAACCGAAAAGUGAAGUGGCAUUUUACUUCAAGGAUAUAUAUCCAAUUUGAUCCUUGAACUAUAUUUAAAACAUUCGAUUUGGUACUUUUACAACAUUUUAACAAUAAUCCCAAAAAAAUUAUUAAAAAUUAUAAAGAAAUGAAAAAAUCUUUAAAAAUAUCAGAAAAUUCAUUAUUUAUUUUUUGAAAUUAUAAAAAUAUUUCUUUAAAAUUAUAAUUAUGUAAAAAAAUAAAAAUGAUAAAGUUGAAAGUUAAAAAAUCAUAGUGUCUUAGAUUCAAAUAUCUCACUACGUAGAUUUUAAUGACUUUAUAUAAAUAAAAUGACUAAAGACCUCUCAUAUUAAGAUAACUUAUUUGGUAGAAAUAAUAAUUUUUAGUUAUUUUCUAAUUAAAUUAGUGCUCAGUCGACUAGUGACACAGAUUUAAUUAAGUAUUUAAAUAUAGUAUAAAUAAGUACAUUAUAAUAAUUAUAUUAUUAUUUAAACUUUUUAACUAAACUGACGCCAUGAGUCAAAUUAACUCAAUUGAAAAUGACUAAAAAAUUAUUAUUUUUACGAAGUAACAAAUAUUAAUAUAAGGGUAUUGUUGAAAGUUUCAAUUUAACUAUUUCAAUUAAAACCUUUUUUGAUUUUUAUAUACUUUUUCAUAAGUAUAUUGUUUCCGUAACUUUUUUACCUUGUUAUAAUCUAGUAUAUAAUAAAUUUAUUAUAUUAAAAUUACUAUUAUAAUAUUUUUGUACUAAUUACAUUUUAGUUAAUAUAUUAUUUGGUACUUAAGUUUGGCUUUAAUAUUUAAUUUUGAACUUUAGUUUUUUUUCAAUUUGGUACUUAAAUUUAAUUAUAAUGUUUAAUUUGAUAUUUGAGUUUUUUUUUUUGGUUGCAAUCAAUUAUUUAACUUUGGCUUAAUGUCCAAUUUGAUACUUAAGCUUUUUAUUUUGUCUCAAUUAAGUACCUAUGUUUUUUUACUAUAGUACACAUGUCAAAUAUUCAUUAAGUCACCUGAUACCAUUUUAUCUGGGUACUAAAUUAAACAUUAAAGCCAAAUUCAAGUAUCAAAUUGAAAUAAAAAAAUAUUAGUACUAAAUUAAACAUUAAAAGCAAAUUCAAGUAUGAAAUGAUAUAUUAACAUUUAAAAUUUUAAGGGAUUUCGAUUUUGUCGUCCAUUAUCUAAGGUGAAUCCCAUUUGAUAAUAGAUGAUUAUCAUCUAUCUUCCUUGAUUUUUUGCCGAGGAUUUGGGGCAUUGAAAGUGACUAUCAUAAAACGCAUCGUUUUACCAUGUUGAAACUUUAAAGUUUACUUUUCUGUGAAAAACUUUCUUGGUAGAAACUUUCCUUUUCUUUUGCAUUUUCUCAUCAAACUUUAGACCUUUUAUAGAGAACUCAAAUAUAUGAAAAUAUUUCUUUCAAUCAAUUUUUAGGAGGCCAGCACAUUACUAAUACGUUAUUUCAACUUCCAAUAAACUAGUGACACGUGGGUUUUUAUUUGUUAAAAGUUAUGUAAUUUUGAAUAUACACUAUAGAUAAAUUGUAAUUUUUUAAGUGAAAUUCUUCCAAACUGCUAUACAUGAUUGUAAGACUCAACCAUGCCAACUUUAGUUUCAAGGAAAGUCACUUUAUUACCAUCCUUGGGAAACAAUUAUUACAUAUCUUUAUUUUAUUUGAAGAAUCUCGUUAAAUCAACCAAUUCGAUUAGAGAAGUUUAUCUAUUGAAAAUAUUUUAUCAAGAAAGUGUAUUUGCCAUUGCAUGGUUAUCGGUACCAAUGCUUUGUAUACAUAUUCUGUACGUGGAUCUUGUCCUAUCAUAUCAAUAUCCACUUAAGAUAAUUUAUAAAGACAAAAUUCACUAUAAUUUCCAAAUGCAUAUGUUAAAGGCUCACCAACAACUCAACAAGUCACUCAACAAGGUACGUGACUUCAUGGGAUCCACAUGAAAAACUUAUAAAUUCCCUUCAUAAGCAUAGCUCAAUCCCUUUUUUUACGAUUAACGUUAUGACUUCGCACAUCCAUCAUGUGAAUCAUCUCCAACCUCUCAAACCACUUCUUUGUAUGAACAAAUUUCAUUUAGCAUUUUGAUGAUCUUUUAUCUAAGUCAUUUCAUUUUAAAAAUAUUUAAUUAUGGUUUUAGUACCUCUACCAUGCAGAAUAUGGUUGAUAGGAUUUUCAUGCGACUUUAACUAUAUAAUCAGAUACCAAUAAAAUAAAAUUCACAUUAUUACUUUAAAAACAUCAACUAAUUGUGGUAUCAAUUUAAACCUACUAAUGAUAACACCAAUUUAUUCAAAUUAAAAUAAUAACAAAGUUCAGAAUAGGGACUGAAAUCAUAAUUAGACCUCUGCUAGGUGACUUGAUACUAAUGCUUCUAUUCUUAAGAAUAGCAUCAAAAUAGAACUAAUGAACAUAACAAUGCAUAGAGCAAAAGAAAAUAUAGGAGGUUUUAAAUUACACAAAGGCAAAUGAACUAACAAGCAGCAGCCAUUCCUCUCGUCCAUCAGGUCAAAUUUCUUAGCUCUAAGAAGCAAAAUGGUUCGACGAAACUCAACAUGCUAUUUGCUAAUGCUAUUCAACGUAUAAUAAAUACUGCCGGUUCACACCAAACGCAACCACAUGUAUCAGUUCUUCAACAGGGGCAUCAGCCAUGGAUAAUGGCCGGUCAAUUCGUUGUUUCAGUUCGGCUGCGAAUAAUCCUGAUAGCAUAUCAUCAGGUACUUUUGUUCAUAACUCUUUCAAUGAGGAGUCCAAAGUAAUCGACGGUUCAUUGCAGGCGGUGCUAGUCCUGGAAUAUCCCGGAUUUCCUUGUUGUUUGGAUUCACAAACUGAGAAACAGAACACCAAUAAUCGAUCACAAAGUAUAUAAACCAUGUCGAAGUUCAGUGGUUCAAUGGGGAAGGGGCGUGUACUUUUAGUUUUAUAAUUUAAUCGAAUUAGUUUGGUUAACAAGACCGUCACCUUAUCUAAUUCAGUCCGUCGAUUAAAGGUUUUUUUUUAAUUAUGAUUAUUGAUUAAUUCAAUUAGAAACAAAAUAAUUAACCGAAAUUAUUAAUAAUAUAUUACAUAGCCCAAUACAUUAUAUAAGCCCAAAAUAUAAAAAUUACCGAAUUUAUAUAUGUAUAUUCUUUUAAUGAGCUUAAAAAGUGCUAGAAAUUUCAUCAUACUUAUGCGUUUGAAAAUUAAGCAUAUAGAACAUAAAUAUAAAUUAUGACACCAAAUUAGUCAUAUACACAAUUGUUGAGGUUUAUAAAUUAUGAAUAAUAUAAUUAAAAUGUAAAUAUUAUAUUAAAAUGAAAUUUUGAUUUAGUUGUAAAGUUAAUAUUUUAUUGAUGUAAACAACACAGGUUUAAAUCUAACCACUUACAAAAUUAAAAAAAUAUUCAUGGACUUAAAUAAUAGUAUAGAUUAUAAAAACUAAAAUUAUUUAAAAAUAUAAAACUAAAAAAUAAACAAAAAAUAAAAAUAAAAAAAAAGUAGUAAAAAUUUCGGUUAACUUAGAUUAACCAUUCCAACUAACUAAAAUUAUUUCGAUUGGUUAAUAAUUUUUAAAAAAUUUUGAUUAGAUAUUUUAAAUUUUCGAUUAACUAAAUCGAUUAUUUUAAUUUGAGGUGGAGAAAUAGAGUACCUUGACAAUUAUGAUGGCUAUGAUACCGGUCACAAUGAGAAAUAAUAGUGCCAUAAUGCACUUAUCAGUAGCAACCUGCAUACAAAAAGUAAAUACAUUAGAAAAUGCAUUUUAUGGUAGAGACAGCUUAAAUGAAUGAAAAAAAGGAAGUGAAUGUUUGAGAGAUUGACCUGCCUACCAAUUUCUUUGACUAAUUUAGAUGCUUUUUGGAUCGAAAAAUGGAUAGAAUCGAGAUCAUUAACUAUCCUGCUCAUUUCUUCAGUCUAAAAAAUAUGAAAGAGGUAAUAUAUAUUAGUAAUCACUGUGGUAAUACCAAAGAGUAAAACAGUAAAUUCAACCUGAGACCAAAAAUGCCCAUGAACUUUUUUUUGAUGAUUCUUAAUGCUUUGAAUUGAAGUUAAUUUACCUGAGCCUUGAGAGUUGCACCAGUCUCUGUUCCAACAUCAACAGUUUCUUGAACAACCUAUCUUAUAAACCGGGUCAAACAAAAAUAUAAGACUGAAAAUGAAUCAAACUUAAACGAAUUAAUUUAUAUUUAUGUUUGUUUGUUUAUUUUUAAUAUUAUUCGUAUUCGUUUAUUUAGAAUAAUGUGUUCAUAUUCUUUUAUUUAAGUUAAAUGACAUAUUCUUUUAUUUAAGUUAAAUGAAUAUGUUUAUAAACAUUAAUAAAUGAACAUAUAACUUACUUUUUAGAUAUGAAAUAAUAAAAUAUAGAUAUUGAUAAUUAUGUUAUAAAUAAAAAAAUUUACACAAACAAUAACAAUAUUAUUAAUUAUAUAAUAACUGAACAAUGAAUGAACUUUAAAUAAACUUCAAAUGAUUUAUUAAAUGAGUUUUAAAUAAAUUUCUUUGUGAACAUAAAUGUACUGAACAAGCUUUGUUCAUGUUAGAUUCGUUUAAUAAAUGAAUUGUAAAAUUUUGUUCAAAUAUGUUUAUUCAACUUGAUAAACAAACAAAUACCUAAAGGUUGAUGAACUAUAAAUUAAAUUUUCUAUUCAUUUCAUGUUGGAUUCGUUUAAUAAAUGAAUCUUAAAAUAUUAUUAAAAUUUGUUUAUUCAACUUGUUAAAUGAACAAACAUCUAAAUGUUGAUGAAGAAUUAAUAGAAUUUUCUAUCCAUGUACAACUCUAUCCAAAGACAACCAAUUAUUUUGAAGUAGAUGAAGUAUAUGUUAACAAAAUCUUAUGCACGGAAAGUACUGAUACUAACCUUCUUAGCCCUGUUAAUGGCUUGAUCAGUCUCAUCCAUCAUUUGGUAUCCUUUAUCCAUUAGCUGCUGGUUUGUCAUAUCUGCAAAACAUACAGGCCCUGUCUCAUUAACAGUUUAAAAUUGAAGUACUUACACAUUAUUUCCAGUCAACAUUUCAUCAUCAUCCCAAAAAUCAAUAUCAAAGGGGUGAGAACGAAUAUGGAGAGUGCAUCAACAGUAAAACAAAGAUUAUAAAACAUGUUUUAGCAGUUAGAUAAACUCUGAUCAACACUCUUAUAGUUAUAAAUAUAGCAUUGUGUACACUUCCAUUAAGUAACAUAAAAAGUACAAUUAUAAACAGGUUGACCGUUUUCUUUAAGGUGCAAAAAAAUGUUGAACCAAAUGAUCAGAGUUUUUUUUAUCAACCUUUUCAUCCCUUGUGAUAUUGAGUGUGUUAGACAACUCAUAUUCUAGCUAUAGCAUAAAAUUAGGUAAAAAAAACCUCUCCAGUCCCUCUCAAUUUUGAUAUUGAGCAAAUUGGCCCCUCUCAAAAAAAUCAAAGCAAUUUAAUCCCUGUUAAUUUCAAAAGUUAGCAAUUAAGGACAAUUAGUCUCAAGGUUAAUGUUUUCCGUCAAUUGUAAAUAAUUUUGAUUGGUAUAAUAACAAAUUUAGCUUUCAAAGUUUAAACAUUCUAUCAAUGUGGUCCCAAUUUAACAAAUUUAGCUUGCAAUAUUUGUGUAAAUGUGUAAAUGUUGAGGCUAAAUUUGUUGAAUUUUUUAGAAGCAAUACCAAAUUGAAAAAACAUGUAACAUUAAGCACUAAAUUUGUUGUUAUACCAAUCAAAAUUAUGUACAAUUGACAAAAGACAUUAACACCAUGAUUAAUUGUCCUUAGUUGUUUACUUUCAAAAUUGAUAGGGAUUAAAUUGCUCUGAUUUUUAGAGAGACCAAUUUGCUCAAUUUCAAAAUUGAGAGGGACUGGAGAUGUUUUUUACCCUCAAAAUUACUACAAACAAUUACUGAGAAUUGUUAUGUCUACGCUUCAAAAGAAAAAGCAAAAGAGACUAUUUUGUGCAAGUGAGUUCUGCAUCUUCAUAGAUUGUUGACACCACAAGCAAACACUGAUUAGGAAAGAACUACAUCUACCUAUAUUACUAUUUGAACAGAAAAUUUCAACUUGUGCUUCGAAAUAAAAAAAAUACAAAAAAUCAGCUGAAAUAAUAAUAUUAAAAGAAGCUGAUAGACUUACUGGAAGCUAGCAUGUCAUUAUCUUCACUAAAGCCUUCAUUAGGCCCAUCAAAGAGAUCAACUCGUUUAUUACUCUCAAGGUUGCUUUGAUAUCUGUAACACAAGAACAACAACAUCAAAUAAAGUCAAGUAAUAUAUCAAAUACCAACAAAGUUAUUAUUUCAUAAUAAAUGUCUUUUCUUUACAAAUUACAGAUUUUCAAUCAAUAAAAUUUAGUUCAAUGGCACCAGAUCAUAAGGUUUGAUCAGUAAAAGUAUCAUGGGGCCCUUUUAUUAGUAGUUGAAUUGCAUUUUGUUCUCUCUAUUAAAAAAAAUAGGCUAAUUAGUCCCUAUACAUGUAAACUGAUCUUUCUGUUAAACAUUUCAUCAAUUUCUAUUGUUAAAAAAUAGUCUUUGUAUGCUAAAAUGAGGUACACGUGGCAUACCACGUAUAACUAUUUGGUUAUUUUAUCAGUAAUGCCACUUUUUAACCUGUAGAAAUUGAUGAAUUUUUUAACAGAAAGCACCAAUUUGGGCUUAAAUCUAACAUACAAUGACUAAUUUGUCCCUUUUUAUGUAAAGGGGUAAAAUGCAAUUUGAUUCCUAGUGCAGGGACCUCCAUAGUAUUUUUACCAAGACUGAUCAAAGGAAAUGGUUAAAGGAAAACGAACAGCGAAUAGGAGAUGGGAUGAGGGGUUCUUAACUCUGAAAAAUAGAUAGCUCUGUCCAUAAUAUUAUAAAUUAUAUAACUAGUUAGAACAUGAACAUGCAUGAAUUAAUCUUGUCGAUACGGAUUACAGACUUACCGUUUCUUAAGGGCAACAUAUGAAUUCAACUCCUUGACCUGCAUAAAAACCCCGUAAGUUUGAGAAAACUUAGAACACAAGAUACUCAGCCAAUAAACCGUAGGAUUUAAAUAUAAGAACAACAAAAAUAAAUAGAACUUAAAAAGUUAUAAAGCACCAUUGAUUGCUUCUUUUCGCUCAGCAUUCUAUGGGUGUUUGCAUUAGUUCUUCUCUCCAUUGCCUUUACUUCUCUAUCAAACUCUUUGAUUAGCCUGAAAGAAUAAGUAGAUCACCACAGCAGAAUAUAUUUAAAGGUAAUGCGAAUACUUACUCUUGCGGAAACAAUUUAAUGACAUACAACGCUGGUUUUAAGUUAGAUUUUUGUUCUUUAUAAAGUGAAUAACCAAAGCAUUAUAAUUCCAGCAGCUUAUUUAAACAAAAGUACAUUAUAAUUUCAAAGAAUCAAAAGUAUAGAUAAUACUCAAAAGAAGUAUGGAUCUGAAGUUACCUCUUACACUCUCGCAUCUUGCCGGUAAGCUCUUCCAAUUGCCUGCUCUGUCGAUUAACAUCCUUAAUCUUAUCCAGUUUCUGGAACCCAUUCCUGUUAAACAAUGUAGAAACCAGAAAUGCAAGUUUAUAAACAUUCAAUCGUAAAUGAUGAUAAAAUUUACAUUGAACAAUCUGAUUAGAAUCUACAUUGUCAUUACAUAACUAAAAGAAGAUCAGAAAUUAAAUUCUUACGAUAAUGCUCGAAAAAUAUCGGCGAUUUGUCCGUCGAUCUCCGCUAGCUCUUCGCUAACCGCGGAUAAUGAAUCCAUCUCUCAACCUUUUGUCUCUCAACUUCAAUUCAGUCUAAAUAAAUGAGUACAAAUUUAAAUAAUUUUUUAGCUGACGAUUUCAAAAACACACGAUCGCGCCAAACCAGAAACAGGAAAUAAAUUCAAAUUUCUAAAGCAGAUCUGUUCAUUUCAGCGCCAAUGGAAUCGUAAAUUCUACUAACAAAACUUCAUUUAGUGGCGAAGCUUCAAUUCACCGAUCGAAAAGCAAACAACAUUGAUCUUGAGCGUCUAAAGUUUUCAAAAGAAAAUUUACAAAAUUUUAAAUCCAAGUCAUGGAUCUGGAUCUAAAAGAGUCGAUCAUACAGAGUCUUCUCAUGAUUUAAAGAUCAUUUUGGAUUAUUUUUUUUUUUUGAAAUUACGUUAUGUUUUUUUUUUCUUUUAAAUUUAGGAUUUAGUUGGUCGUUUUGGAGGGGAGAGGGGUUUUAGGGUGGGAAGGUAUAAAACCUCCCGGUAAUUUGGGACGUUUAAAACCGAAAUAAGGAACACUGAAGUGGGGGCCCACCAUGAAUGCGCGCUAUUGUUUUUUAUUUAAACGGUCAUAGCGUACGAUCCGAUAAUAUUGUCCGUUGGAUAGUCAUGUUUCUGGAACUGGUGGACAGAUCGGAUUAUCAAUUUUUAAUUCCGUCGAUUUGUCUACUUUAGUUAGUUUUAUCAAUUUACGGGUCAAUUGAUUUUAUAUUUUUUAUUAUAUUAAUACUAUAGUUAUGCUCUGAUUAGCUGUUACGGUCUAAUUCAAACAUGUUCUUAAAAGGUCCAACCUUCUUAAAAUAAUUUUUUUAAACGAUAAAAUUAAAAUUAAAAUUAUAAAUAUAUAAAUUAUUAAAAUGAUAAAAUUACAUCUUUACUAUUAUAAAAAAUAUACAACUUAAUUUUAUCUCUAUUUUUUUUUCCUUCAUCCUUGAUGGUUGAAUAGAGAGAUAUAAUUUAACUUUCUUUAAAAGAAUAAUAAACUACAAAAAUAGUUACUCAAAUUUUAACAUGUUACUAUUUUGAUUACUAUUUCUUUUAAUUUAAUCACUCCUAUUAGAUCACUUGCAAAUUACGACUUAUAAUCACUCUACCAUAAAAAUACAUCUAAUCAUUAAACAAAAUACUAACGUGAUUAUCUUUUUAUUGGUAAAUUUAACAUUCAACAUUUUACACACCUUAUCAAUUUAGUCAUCAAUUUAAUCAAGAUUCUAAAUUUUUUUAAUAAACUUAACUCUUAACAUAUAAAAUAUUUACAUAUUUUAUCAAUUUAAUCAUAAUCUUAAAAAUUAAAAAAAAUUAUAAUCAAAAUAACAACGCAUUAAAACAAAUGAUACAUUUGAAUCCGUUAGGUGUAUUUUGAAAAAUACGAUCGGAUAAUAUUGUCCGUUGGAUAAAAGUAUGAAUUAUGAUUUUGUUUUUGUUUUUAAAGAUUAAUGGUACAUGUUCUAAUUGAAUCUUUAAACUUCACAAAUUUAAAAUUUAAUCCCUAUAUUUUUAUUUCCAAAAAAUUAAUCUCUUUACUUUGAAAUUUUCAAAAACAUUAAUACUGUUAAUUCUUUUUUGUUAAAUUUUUUAAUGUAACAUUUUGAAAUAAAAAAAAUACCCACCAACUUAAAAAUUAAUGUUAUAAUAAACCUAAAUUUAACAGUGUUAACAGUUAAAAUUAAAUUUUGAAAUCUUUGAAAUCUAAAAAAUAAAGAGACUCAAAUUGGGACUAAAUUCUAAAUUCUCAUAACAUAUUUUAAUCUAAAAUGUGAAACAAGUAGAGGAAAUGUACAGGGAAAUCCCCUCACAGUUAUCCAUUGAACUUCAAUUUUCAAAUGAAACAAGUAGAUGAACUAAAUUACUGUAAAAUAAAAGUAGAGGAAAUGUAUUUAAAAAAAUCCGAAAACUAAUGGAAAUAAAAGCAGAACGAAAUUUCAAAAAUCUGAAAUGUACAGGGACUAAAAUAUAUUUGAACAUGAUAAAAAAAAUGCAACGGUGAGCUGAACCAAAAGGAAAAUUGAUAGUUACUCUACCAAGAAAGAAUUCUGAUGAAGAAAUUGAAAAUUUAACAAUUGAAAUAUAUAGUAAUUCGUUUAAAAAAAAAACAUCAAAUAAAAAGGACCUAAAAACAUGAUAUGAUUACCUGAAAGACUGCAGAACUAUACCUGAUCUCAUUCAAAAGCAUUGCUUCCAAAAUAGAUGAUUAGGGCAAAUGGCAAUACAACUGAUGAAGAACUAUUUUUGCCCCAAAAGAGAGCUUUAAUUCCGACAUUAUAUCACGGUUUGUGGAUCUUGAACCCGAAUACUCUUGGUACGUAGCUUUGAGUUGCCUUUUGUGGCUUCAGAUGUUGGUAUGUCAUCAAGAACAGGCUUGGAAAUGUUGUCCCGAAAUAGGCACCGUCAGUGUCUAGUUAGAAUUAAGGUAACUAAAAUGCAGGAACUAUAAGGAAUGUUGAAAACUAUAGAUGGAUAAACGAUUCGUAACAAUUCGUGGUUGGAAGUAAGUGGUAGUUGAAUUUUCCCUAAGCAUUUGGACUAAGUUCAAAUCCUAAAGUCAUUACAAUUAGAAGGGCUUUACCUAAAUACCACUCAACCCGAACAAAAUUGUUCUCAAGCUGUAAAACGGAUUAGAAAAGUUGUGGUAAACAAUAGUUGGAUAACAUGGCAUGCUUGUUAUUUGUCCCCCCUUGACUUCUUCCUCAAGCAUUUGGACUGAGUUCAAAUCCUAGAGUCAUUACUAUUAAAAUGGCUUUGCCUGAAUACCAACCAGAACGAAAAGAAAUAUUCUCAGAUUGUAAAAAAGGAUGAGAACAUGAGAACAUAUGUGAUUAUACAAAAACAAUAGAUUGAUAACAUGGCCUGCAUAUUAUUUGUUUUCCCCCACAAAAUGCAUGCAACAAGUAAUAGCAAAUAAGUUCAAUGGCUAAAAGGAUACUGCCUUGGUACUUGGAGCGAGGGUAGAAGAUAUCUUCGCAUCGAGGGCAGUAUAUUUUUACGGUGCUUGAUCGAGGAAUAUCUGAUUGACCGACUGGAAGACAUGGUUGUCCGCAGCAGUAAACUCUAGGGCAUCUUCCAAAAUCGUAGUUCUUAUACUUGUCCAGCUGAAAAAGUUAAAAAACAUAUAUAUAUACAUUGUUGUAAUCAGUUGCUCAAAUUACACACACAUGUAUAAAUGUAUGAAAUCAUAGUUCACAGCGAGUAUCUCACCAUAGCGGCAAUCCCUUUGCCUGUCAAAAUGUAUCGAGAAUGAAUCAGACCAUAAAGCAUCUCUGCCGCAGAUUCAACUAAUUCAUUUUGCUCCUCCGUAAACAUAUCUCCUACCAAUUUCAGUUUAACGUGAAUUUUCUCAUUGCAAGAAACUAAAAGAUAGAAACUAGCCAUGUUGCUAAAUGACAUAAAUAAUGGGUUCGCCAUCAUCAAGAUUCAAAAGCAAGUAUUAGAAGGAAGGGACAGAUUUUCACACAUCCGGAGAACUUGAUAUGAGAAGAAACAAACCAUAAGCUUACCGUGAGAAGAUUCAACAUCCAAAAUCAAAUCAAGAGCAUAAUCAUAGUAAGGAACUUGGCUACUUAGCCCACAAAGGUUAAAAUCAUCUUGUAUGUAGUCAUCAUCAACUUCGCAAAAGAAUUCAUUUCCACGUAGAUUGCAAAACCAUGAGAUCCAAGAUGUGUCAUCCCCGUCGGAACCACUAACAUCCGACUCUUCACUGUCAGUUUCAGAUUCAUCUGCAGUAAAUGAAAUCCAAAUUCGUAUCAGCAUAUGUCACUAAAGCAUCACCACCACACACCAAAAGGUAACAACCGUCACUUUGAAAACAUGGUUCAUAGACGAGUAAUCAUUGGACGAACAAUAGUGAAUUUAAAUCGUACAAAGAUGAAUAUAUAGAGGUUUACAAAACAUAUAUGCCUUUUGACUUCAUUUGAUACUGAAAAAUGUGGGAAAAUACAAAAGGCUAAGACAAACUUAGUUUCGAAGCUGACAGAUUGUUCGAGGCCGUAAACCUAGACAUUGAGCAAAACUUAUUCAUACAAAUACAAGGUUUGGCCAAUCAUGUUGCUCAAACUCUUCAUUUUUCAUGUGUCCAACAAACAGAUGUAAGGAUAUGAACUCCAAGAUCCUUCAAAUACAUGGAAAAACUUAAAAAAAUUAACCAUACCCGUGUCAGAUACAGUUAUGUAUCCGACACUCACACCCGAGUCCCAGUAACGUAGUUGGCCAAUACCCUUAUAAACUACCCCCAAACCCCUCCACACACAAACACAUUUCCCCAAAAGCCAGACCGACGUUAACUGAAGACUCGAGUACAAGUCAUUUGCCACUCUACUUAUGCUUCAAUCGGUUAUUUUUCCCUCAAUUACAGAUAGGGAAAGAACACCUAGUUGAAAGUUAAGUGCUAUUGUGAGCAAUGUAAACAUAAAUCUUUAAGCUUUCUUAUCUAUUUUUCUCACUCUUUUCUCAAAUGCAAGCAUCAAAACAUAAGCAUUAUAAUUUGUUAACAAAAUUCAUAUUAAUAACAAUAAAAUUUCAUAAUUUCAUCAAUAUCCAGUUUCAAUUACGUAAAUUCAAAAUUUACUAAAGCUAGACAUAAAAUCAAAUAAUGAUAACAAAAAAAAACCCCUAAAUUUCUCGUAAGUUCUUCAAAACAAUCCAAAAUUUUUAUAAACUAAAAAUCCUAAAAUCAUCAAAACAUGGAUAUGUGGUUAUGUUUAUAGUUUAUACCACCGGAGGCGUUCGCUUUAGGUAGAGAAGCAGAACAAGAGUCACGGUAAUGAUCAGGUGGAUGCUUCCCCAUUUGAAGGGACUGCGAUGACUUAUCCUUUCCGUUGAUUGCUCUCGAUGUUGACGGCGACGAUCGUUCCAGUUGCUUAUCAAGCGCUUCGUUGAUCCGUUUCCGAUCCACCGAACCUACCUCCCCUUUGGAACCACCGGCUGUUCUCUCUCCUCGGUACAUAUCUUUUCUUCUCUUAUUUUUCCGUUGAAAUGAACCGCUCCCGUUAUCGCCGAUUCAUAGCGUGGAAUGACGAUAAUGACCCUAUCUCCCCUAAAUCUAGGGUUUUCUCUCCUUUUUUUUUCCUUUCUUUUUGUUUCUGCUUUAAUUUUAAUGGAGCUAUUUGCUUUAAGUUAACCCAUUAUUAUUUAUUUUUAUUUAUUUAUUUUAUAUUUGGAUUUUAUUGGAACAGUUGAUUUUUUUGCUGGAUUUUUAUGGAGGAAGAAACAGAGGAGAUAGAGAGAGAAAGGAGGGGAAUUCUUAGAGAGAGUAUAGAGGGUUAAAAUCGGUAGAGAAUUCUUAGGUUCCGGCGAUUUGGCCGAUAAAUCGGCGGGUUAUAGCUUUGGUUUUGUAUUUAAGGGGCGGGGGGCAUUUAUUGUGUAUGAUUCAUCCUACAUUCUUUAUAUUACUGAUCUACACGUGGCGCUUGAUCAGCAACUCUCAUGUUACUGAUUUUUUUCCGGCAAUUAGGUUAACUUUGAUAUUUGAACUUAAGAAUUAGAUUUAUUUUGAUCACUCAACUUAGAAAAAAUAAAAAUAUGAUGAUGUUUCAUUCUGAGAUAGUGCCACGUUAUUACUUAAAAAAUAAAAAAUUUAGAUAAAUUUAUAGGUGAGUAUGACAUUUAAUGUUUUAAUAAUCAAGCAAUAGUUGAACAUGUCAGACAAUCGGUUCUUAAUUUAACUAGUUCAAUCAGUUUGACUAUCGAACUAACAAUAAUUAAAUAAUUAAUUAAAAAAUCAUAAAAAAAAAAUUAAACUGAUUCAACCUAUUCAAUUUUUUAUUUUUGUCUCAAUUUUCUAUUUUUAUCAAUUUUAAGCAGCUUAUGAGUUAAUCAAUUCAAUCCUUUUAUUAUGACCAUUAUAUCUAUUAGUUCUCGAUUUGUCCGAUUCGGUUUUACUUUAGUAACACUGAUCAGAUCAUCAAAUCUUGAUAAAAUCUAAGUUCAGGGACAAAAAUGAAUUUAGUUGUCAAGUUCAAUGACCAAAUUAGAUAAAAAAAAAGUAUAAGUAAGGGGUGAUUCUUUUGGGAGAAGUAUUUGAAGUGUCUUUCUCCGAACAUUUGGCCUAACAUCCAACAGAUUGGUAUUGUCCUUGGGUCAUGCUAUGUAUAGUUCACAAAGGGGAAGCGUAUCGAGGUAAUAGAUUAUUCGUGGGCACACAAACACCCACCAAAGAGAAGUGAGUGUUUUCGCUCUUCGUAAAGUCUCGACGAAAACAAAAGACAAAAUCUCAAUAUGACCCGAGGACGAUAUUAAUCAUUAUUAGAGUUUGACCAAAAGCUUCUCUCGAAGAAUUCAACCCUACAAUAAUCCUUAAUGCUUUACUUUCAUAUUUUGAUUCUUGUUUCUUGAAAUCAAUGAUUCUCCCAAGACGCAAACAAAGGUUUGAGUAACUCACUUUCGUGUGUUGGUUUAGUAUCUUUCAAAAAAUGCAAGAAGGCUUGGCGUUGGCAUUAUUUAGUUAAAUUGUCUCAUAGAGAACAUGUUCAUUCAAUUUGAAGUGUCAAAUCCAAAGCUAAGAUUUAUCAUUUUAUGUUCCCACCUUUUUAGAAGCCAAUGUUUGAAUCCAUUGACCCACAAGCAAUAAUGUCCACUAAAGAGUUUCAAGUUCUCCCAUGUGAGCUAAGCUAGUCUUAAAGAUAAACUUUGUCUUGUGUAUUCAUAGAAAAAACACCACAUGAUGCAAAAGCCUUUUGUUCACCUUGCAAUUUGAGCAUUCUAUUUUGGCUACUUCAAUAGAUGCUUCUAAUGCUUCAAAAUCAUAACAUUUCAUGUUGAGGUACUUUUGUUUUUUUGUUUAAUUUAUACUUAUUCAUGGGUCAGGUCAUCACUUGAAAAAUAAAAGAGUUUGGACAAAAAUACGAUGCCUGAAAAAUGAGUUUAAGUAAAAUAAUUACAUAUGUUAAAUAAUAAUUAUAUAUAUAUAUUUAUAUAUUUAUACUUAUAUUAAAUUACUAACCCAAUAACAAUUAAGUCCAUUACUCAAAACUUUUAAAAAAAUUCUACUAAAUAACCCAACCCAAAAUAUAAAAUUUUAAAAAUUAUAUUUAAUACAAUAAAACAUGUAUUAUAUUUAUAAUAGUGUUUUUUUUAUAUAAAUACUUUUUAAUGUAUUUUAAUGUGUUAGAAAACUUUUAUUUAAUACUUUUUAGUGUAUUAUAUUUUUUAAAAUUUUAUUUUUAAAUAAAAAUUAAUCUAAAAAAAUUAAAUAUGGACGAGUUCAAAUUUACCUUUUUUUAAAUUAAUUUGGGCUUGGAUAAAAAAAUAAACUAAUUUUACAGCUCGAGUCGAACUUAAACUUAAAAAAUUAAUCUAAAUACUUUAUCUAGCUUAGUUCAUAAGCACCUCUAGUAAAGUUGGGUCGUGCUUGUUGGUCUCUUGCGAUACGUGGACUUCUGUAUCAAGUUUUUUAAACCAUAGGCCUGGGUCUCUGUGCUUGUAUUGUCAUACUAGAGUUAUUCCUUUCUUUAGUGUAGAUGCGUUCUUUUAUUAACUACAUGCAGUCAAGUUCAGAACUCCGCAAGGGCUAUCAUUCUCCUUCAAUAUUUGCCACUGUUCAAACUUGAAGCUCAAGGACCUGAGGAGGAGGAGGAGGAGCUUGUGCUGGGAUAUUAUGGUUAUGCUGCGCAAUGGCUUGAAUUGUUAUAGCAAACAAUCGAAGAAAGCCUAUAAAUUGAUGGAAUAGUUUAUUGUGCCAAGGAACUGUGACUACGAUGAAUAAAUAGGUAACCAAGAAGAGUGAAGAGGGAAGAAAGAUUGAGGCAAGGAGAGAAAUGAAAAAGGCAAUGGAAAACCCUGGAGCUGUCAAGCUGAUAGGAUGGGGAGUGAGAGGGAUUUCAACAGAGAAGUAGAGGAAGAUUCCCAUUAACAUAAUGGCAACAAACAAGGCAAAGAAGACAAGUAUAGAGGUGGAAACUGGUAGGGAAUCAGAAAGUAAAUCAAAUGCAGAGUCGUUUUCGGAUGCUACCAAUAGAAACCGGAUUACAUUCACCAAUGGAGGGAUUGCAUACCUCAAAUCAAUCAGGAUCUGCAUUUUUUUUUUCUUUUUCUUUGUGGCUUUUAAGGAAUUCUGGGAAUUGAGCAGGGGGCUAGGGACACUUAUAUACAACAGUGAAAGUCAAAAGGAGGAAGAACUGGUAUGGAACACUGGAAUGGAAAAUGUAUAGCUAAAGUUAAAGAAAUAGAAAAUAAUGUUCAUAAACCGAACAACGCUGCAUUGUUUCAAUCGCUGAAUCCUUUUUUUCUGCAUUGAACUCAAUUUAGUGUUACCCACCCAUCAGUGCAUGUAUCCGAUUCUUGUUUUAUAUAUUGAAAAAUUAAUUAAAUUAGGAAUUUGUGUAACAAAAUAUAAAUUAAGAGGUAUAAAUUACUAUCCAUAGGUAAAUGAAAAAAUAUGGGGACUAAUUGUAUAAUUUAACUUAAAAUUUUUGUUUGAAAUGGUGAUUUAACAUGCCAGAUCAUCUUACCAUUACACCGUUAACGAAAAUUAACGGCUCAAUAACUAAAAUAUUAAAACAUGUUAACGUAAGUGAUUAAAACGUAACAUUUCAAACAUAAAUGACUAAAAUUUAACUUGAAGGAAACAAAAGUGAAUAUUUUAAUAGUUUACCUUAUAUAUAAUAGUAACCAUUAUAAUAUAAUUUCUUAUAAUUCUUAAAUAGUUUUCUAUAAUAAUUCAUUAUAUUAGUGAAUUGCAUUCGAAGUUAUUUACACGAUAGAUUACUAAGAAAUUUAAACUUUCAAUAAUCUUAUCUUAUAAAGUUACUCUGAUAAAAAAACAACUUACUAGAGUAUCUACAUUUUCACCAAACUUCAUAUAGAGGAGCUUUGAAAAUUCUAAAUACUAAGCAAGAUGGGUCAAAGUGACCCCAAAUCAUAAGAGCGACUUAGUCCAUUAGUUCACACCUUGGUCACAAGUUUUUGUGCUCGGCCUAUGACAUUUUCCCCCAACUGUUCUAGCAACAUUUCCAUUGCUUUCUUAAAAUAAUAUCAAUCCAUCUCAUCUCGGAACUGCCACAAUACCUCGGCUAAUUCCUAACUAAUCUUGCUAUUGGAUAGUUCCCUCAGCUUAUAAUUUUUCUGUUGAAUAAUUUGAUUUGUCUCUCCACGCUAUACAUCUCAAUACCUCAUUACAACUUGUCCCGAUUGAGAUCCCCUGAUUCUCACGAAAAGACUUGAGCACACUUACGUUGAACACUAGGUGGACUUUUAAGUAUUGUUUACAACUCUGGCUUGCAGACUACCUUACCUAUUAGCUGUUAGUUGUGUGUAACCUACAACAAACAAAUGUGAUAAGUCACACUAUAACACUCUCAAGUGCCUUCCUUUUAACAUAUCUACUCUAUUCGAUUGUCCAUUUUGCAUAUAACACUUCUUUGCCCACCAAGGUUAAUGCACAAUUCAAAAAGUUCAUUGCUAGACAUUGGCAGAAACCUUUGGACUUGGAGAUGAAUGGUUUUGAGUGAUUGGCUAAAAGGUUAAUUUAAUUAGUCAAAUCUAUUUUAACAACAGAACAUACAAAGUCAAACACGACCAUAACUAUUUCAGUUCGCGUAGCUGAGUUUGGGAGUCAAUGAGCGAGAAUCGUGGGACAUGUCUAACUUUGUAUUAACUUGUCGGUGAUAGGAUAAUAUAUUAAAAACGUAAAUUGUAUUUAAGUAGUUCAAUAUUUUUUAUUUGUUAAAGUUUUAUGUUAUAACUAAAAAUAAAAUUGUUCUUAGAGAUUAAAUUGUCAACAGAAGUUCAGUAUCAUUUUCUUUCUUAAAUUUAGAACAGUUUUAAUUACACAAUUAUUUUAUAACUUCAAAAUUUUUUAUUUUUAUUUUAGAUUUAUAUUUAAUAUACAAAAACAAUGCAUCAAUCUAGUGUUUCCAAAAUCGGAUUUAUGAUUGAAUAAAAAAAUCCAAUUCAAUCUAUCCGUAUAUGUUCGUUGUCACUAUUCUUCUCCGAUGGAGUUCAAACAUUAUUAAAAACCAUAUAAAGACAAGUACGUAAUUGAACGAUCAUAUACUAGUUUAAGGGGGUUUUUUUUCUUUAAUAUAUUUGCUAUUUAGUCCUUUCUUAGAAUUACAAGCAGUAUUAGUUAGUAUUCUAGCAAUCCACCCCCAAAUAAACACAAAAUCUAAUUCUGAAACUGAUACUGCAUUACCACAGAUCAAUAUGAUUAAAAAUGGAGAAAACCUUAAACUAAAAAAAAAGGUUAAAUGAGAAUGGCCUAUACAAUCAACUAUUUUUUAAGCUACUACCCUUUACAAACAUUAUAAGCUUUAAGCCUUGUACCAAAAACUAGGCAAUAUCUUCACAUAAUGACAGCUCAAUUUCAACAAAUCAUGCCACCAAAAUAAAUAAAAAAAAGUGUGUUUCAAAUUCAACCAAAUGCAUGAACCACCACAUACAAAUCAAGUGGCAACUUCAUCUACUUCAGAAUUGAAAACAAAGCUUGGGAAUGUUGUUGUUAUGUCCCUGCAUAGUUGAUGUUACACCAUGGGUGAGUAAAGGUUUUUUUUUUUUUUUUUCCAAGUAAAGGUGAUUACGAGACGGGUAACGCGUACCUGAGGUAUGGGAGGGUCAUGAUUUUCAACAAGGAUGGAUUACGAGAGACGAAGUUUUGCCAUUCUGAUAUGUCUAUCUUCCCAUCCUGAUUAAUAUCGGCUUCCAAGAAUGUCUGUUCACAAUUCCCAAGAAAGAGUUAAGAAACAAUGCCUCAAAUCAACAGUCACAUGAAACCAGGUAAUUUACAAUCUUGGUGGCAUUAACUGUCAUAAAAUCUUAAUUUCAUCAAACUACAUCACUGAACUGAAGUCACUUACGAGCACUUCGUUAAGUAAUUCUAAUGGAAAAGUUUAUUCCCAUUACACAUGACACUAUGAAAUCCCAAAAUCGAUUCUAUUUAGAAAAUAAGUCACGCACGCAUGCCUUACGUAGUGAGCACAAGUAACCUAAUUAGCUAAUAGUAAAAGUUCAACAAUAUAAUUUAAUGAAAUGGAAUAUUUAUGGUUUACAUGAAAGUGGUGUUAAGUUCAGUAACACAAAAUGUAAAUAAUCCCAUGAAACCAUCUAACUGAUGGUGUUCAUAUAAAGAUAUUGUCGAUAGUGUAAUAAUUCCGGGCAAUCAAUAGGUUAGCCAACUACUAAUUCAAUAAGAUUUGCCGGCAGGAUCAAUUUUCUUCUCAAUAGUUUCAUAAACACUUAUUUUACACAACAAGCUCUCACCUUAUCAAGUAUUGCCUCGAUGGUUUCAUCAGCUAACUUCAUUUCAGAUUCGCAUAAAAGAGCAAUCAGCAUUUGCUUGACCUGUGCCAAAAUCACAUAAACCAUGUUUGUAUGAAAAAUAUAACUGAAUGAAAAAGUAAAUCCAUGUAAUAGCAUGAUAUUUAAACAACAAACAUAUCAAUCCCAACAUACCUCAUGACGCUCUAUAAAACCAGUUCCAUCCAUGUCAUAAAGUUUAAAUGUAACUGCAAUUUAAAACCAUUAAGUUUAAAAAGAGAAGGAAGAUUAAACAACUUGUGUAAUUCGAGAUAAUUAUAUCAACUGUUUACUUACAAUCUAUUUUAUCCUCUUGUGAGGCAUUUGGAUGGAAGACAUUGAGUGCUCGAACAAAGUCACCAAAAUCAAUGAUUCCCUUCUUCUUGGCGUCAAAUAAAUCGAAAAUCUACAUUGUAUUAGAAGGUUGGAUGAAUAUAAAAGGAACAUUCCCAUCAAAGAAAUUUUAGACAAAACAAGUGAAACCUCAACCUUUAAGUGAUAUUGAAUUUCUUACAUAACAAUAAAAAGAAGAAACUACUUUACCCGAUUUGCAAAAAUGUUUUCCUUCUUCCUAUUCUUAAACAGCGCUAAUUGAAAUUCUUCCUGUAUAUACAACAAUAGAUGAGCGUUAAAUUGGACACACAAAUGUUCAAUUUUGACAGAGAAGGAAUAAUGAGAAAAAAAAUAAACAAAUCCCCUCGUAGUUAGAAAGUGGGAGGGACGAGGACAAAUAACGGAAAUAUAAACGAGAUGCAACUCCAAUUCUUUUCAAAAUGGAGAGAUCUUUAAAUAGCAAAGUCAAUGAGAAAAUGCAAAACAACUCAAAAUCACACAGGCUGCCAUGAUCCACACCACCUUGCAAGGCAUUACCGAUUAGGCCACAUAGUUUUAUCCACAAAAGGCACUUCAUAAGUUAAAGUUAUAGGUAUUGUGAGCACUUAUAUCUCAAAACCAACUCUAGUACACGAGAAAUAUGAGAUUCACGGUCCCUCUCUAGGACUAUGAAUCCUCCCCCACUCUAACAAGGACCAACAUCCUCAAUGGCACAUUUCUAAUAGCCAACUUUAAUACCAAAUGCCACGUCCGACAAUAAGCUACAAAGUUUGUUUGCUUCGGCUCAUUGGACCUAAUGGUUUUAUCCAAGACCAAUUCAAGUACACAGCUCAUAUGAAAGUUGAUAGGCACAUGCAUAAGAUGUAAUGAUCCUUAUAACCACAUUAAAGAAAAAGUAAAAGAUCCAUGGUAUUACAAAGGAAUCAUAGAACUGUACCUUGCUAAUCAAACCAUCAUCAACCACAGAACUGCUGAUGCUCUUGAAUAGCUCAAAAAGUGCUUCAACCUCACUAACACUAACUGCAUAUACACAAGAACAAACCAAGUAAUCAAUUUUGCAGCAUAAAAGCAACACAAGGUAAGCAAAUUUCCCUUCAUAAUUGGAAGCAAAAGCAAUGGAACAUCAUUGUUUCAACCCCCAUAAGAACAAUCAAACAAUUGGGUGCAUUCAAUGAAAUAAAGAAAAGUUCAAAUAGUCAACAAACUUACAAGCAGUUUGUGAAGCAAGAGUAACAGGAUCUUCAUACCCAGGAUGUUGCCUUGUUACUUUAGAAUGAAAGCAACCCAUUUACUGGGAAACCUUUUUCUUUUUUUUUUCUUUUUUAAGGAAAGAAAGAAAACUUAAACAAAAAAAGAAGAAGAAGAAGAAGUUCCUAGACUUAAAGCGCCUAGGCUUCACUAUAUUCUUCUGCCUGAAAAAACCAUUUUAAACCUGCAAAUUUCAUUCACAACAUUUAUUAGAAAUCAAAGUAAUUAGCUUUCAAAAAAAAUACAGAUCUCAGUCAAAAAAUUUCAUCGCAAAGAAUAAAAAAUAAAAAAGAAAUAUACAAUUGAAUCAUAAAUCUUAUUCUUACAUUGAAAUCCAAUUCGAUAACUAAUAAAUUAAUUUUCUUUUUAACCUAAGAACCAAUCCAAUUGAUCAAAAGAGAAAACCUUACCCACUUUUUUUAAAAAAAGUAAAUAAAUUUCUGCGAAGUGUCCACCACACACAUACAUCAUUAAAAACAAUUCACCUUUUAUUAUUAUUAAAUCUCUGCAAAGUGUCCACCACGCAUAUAUCAUUUCAAUCUUUGUAAUUUUUCUUUAAAAAAUUAACGAAAACAACUCAAAAAAAUAUAUAUACUUUUAAAAAAAGCAAGAAUUGAGAAACUUACCGACCGGAAAUUUGGCCGGAAAAUUAAAAUCCGUCGCUUAAAAUGAACGACAGAAAAAAAAGGGAAAAAAAAAAGGCGGAGCUUUACAAUCUCUUAACACUUUACAGGAGAAAUGAACUAAUUUGAAAGAGAAUGUGAGAGGGGGGAUUAUAUAGGAAAAGAAACAAAUUAUUGACGGCUUAAUCCGACGGUCGAGAUUUGAUCACAAGAGCAAAAAAGCCUAUUUUUAUGCUUCUCUGUUUCUUUUUUGUUCUUUGUUCUUUUAUAUAAUCAAUGAAUUUCAGUUUUUCUUUUUAGUUGGUCGAAAAUAAAAGGAUUAAUUCUGCUAGACAUCCUUAAAUUAUUACUUAAAUUUUAUAUUAUUUUAAAUAUUUAAAGUUGUUUUAAUUUAGUCCAAAAAAUCAAUCAGGUUCUUCUAUUAACAUAGACGGGGGAUAAAUGCCAAAUCAAAUAUCAAAUUAUAAAUAAAUAUAUACUUGCUACAUUAUAAUGGUCUUUUUUUAAUAUGUUAGAUUUAUGUUGUUUAUUUGAUAAUGUUGAGAAGUGGUUGACUCUUUUUGGAUAAAUCUUCGAAGUAUCAUUUGUUUAGAAUCGAAAAACCCUUAAACGGUUAACAUUGUCCUCGAAUUUGAGAUGAAAGUUUGUCUCCUGACCGUGUUGAGAGCGUGAGUUGAAGUUAGGGUUUAUAGAGUGAGAGCACCUUAUUGGAUCAAGUCAUGCGUGAUGCAUGACCACUUACCAAUGGGAUUUGCACAUCGUGAACUUGACUAGCUUUGAACCUUUGCCCCUUCUAUGGUAUCGACCAAGUGCACAACACACACGUCCCUUAGUAGGUGAUCAUGUGUCCACAUAGUCCAAUCUGACAAGGCAAUCAUGUUCUGUAAGCCUUGCCUCCAGCUCAAAAUUGACUUAUUUAAGGGUCUGUUGGCUCCAGAUGAAAGACUUCUCCAAAAGGAGUUGACCUCCCAUUUACAAAUAGGCGUAUAUAUGUUUACAAUUUGAUUCAUGUGUUUUAAAUAAAAGGCUUAAUUCAUGGUUUGACCCCUAAAUUUAUCCAUUUUGGUAUCUAAAAUUUUUGUUGUCCCAAUUUAGCACCUAAAGUAUCAAUUGCUUCCUAAUUUGUUACAUAAAGUAUGCCUAAAUUAUGAAUAUAAUUUGAGACAAAAAAAAGUUUAAGUACCAAAGUACAAAAAUGGAUAUAAUUCAGGGACUAAACCAUGAAUUUAGCCUAAAUAAAAUUAGUAUGAGCUAAUGAGACAACCUUAUAAUAUUGAUAAUUUGAGGACUCAAUUAAAAUAUUUUAAACUUUAUAGUCUAAUUCAAGAUCUGAACGAUAAUUUAGGGACGUUAGGUGAAAUUAACCCAAAGUAAAAAAAGCAAACCAGUGAAGUUAGAAACUAACGGAAAGGAUCGUAGAAUUAGCUUUAGGUGUGUUUGGGACUUUGUGUAGUUGGUGAAGCCAACAAAUCGGAUUGAGACGCGUUUAACUGCACGUGCAUUUGAACGCGAGUGGUUGAAUUCAUUCUUUGGAAUAUUCCUUAUCCCCUUCGUCUAAACAAAGAAAGUAAUCAAUUACCUUUUCUAGACAGUAAUUUUCAGUUUAUUACACAUUUCUGCUAAUUCAGUUUUAAUUUUUUUCCAAGUAUGUGUCAAUUUCUUCAAAAAAUUAAUUAUUAUAAUUAAAAAGGUUAAUUUACUAUUUCGUACUUGUUUAAUUUAGUACUUGAGUUUAGCUUCAAUAUUUAAAUUGAUACUUAAAUCAAAUGACAUCUUGUGGCCCGAAAAAUAUUUAACACUUAACUUAAGUAAACAAAAUAGGUACUUAGUUGGAACAAGAAAACUCAAGUUCCAAAUUAAACAUUGAAGCUAAACAUAAGUAAUUAAUUCGGAUAAAAAAUAGUGUAUUAACGCUAAUUAAAACAAAGUUAAUUAUACCAAACAUACUCAAACUAUGACUUGGAUCUUAUAUUGGUCUCCGAAUUAAAAAAAAAAUUAAUCAAGUCCUUAAAGUAUUAUAUCAUAUUAAUGAGAUUUUUCUGUCAGCCUAGCAAUUAGCUUAGGUAUUAAAUGUCAACUCUAAUAUGAUGUGGAUCGAAUCAUGAAUAAUUGUGUACCUAUUGCAUGGAUAAUUUUAAUUUAACAUGCUAAAAAAUAAUCAAUUUCAUUUGCCUCAUAUUACGUUUUAGCAAUUUACGUUAUCGUUUUGUUACAAAGUGGUCACUCUGCCUUUAAGCUCUGUUACCUCCCUAACGGCAAUCCUACGUGGCAGUCAAAAUGAGUUUUAAAUGCUGACUUGGAUGUCGAACUGGGACAAAAAUUUUAAUUAAAUAAAUUUAAUUAAUUAAAAAAUUUAAAUUAAUUACAUCUUGAGCUGGAGAAGAAAACCGUUCGUCUCAUUUUUCUUUUAGUUUUCUUUUCCAUUUUGACUGAAAAAAUUCUUCUUAUCCCAGUUGGAAUUCAAGUUGGCAUUUAAAACUCAUUUCGACUGCCACAUAGGAUUGUCGUUAGGGGGGUAACAGAACUUAACGGCAUAGUGACUACUUCGUAACAAAAUAAUAUUUCAAACAUAAGUGGCUAAAAUGUAAUUUAAGAUAAAUAAAAUUGACUAUUUUUAUAGUUUACCCUUUUUUUUCAAUACUUUAGAUUCAAAAUCUCCAUUUAAUUAAUACGUUUUAAAUAUGUUAAUGUCAAAUUCAAAUCGACAUUUAGUACUUCUAAUUGAUACAAUACUGAUAUUUUAACUGAACUAUAAUAUUUUGAAUUUUAAGGACUAAUUUAAAAUUUAGACAAUGAUUUGAGAGUGUUUGUGAAUUAACCCUAUAAAAAUUGUUAAAGCUAAUAACCCAAUAAAAAAGUGUUAGUUAAUUAUUAAAAAAAAAUUGCUUAUUGAGGAUAAACCCAACAAGAAGUUGGCAUCUUUCGCUUUUAUUUAUUUGUUCAACUUUUAUGAAAUGUAAUAAAGAAGGAAUGGAAGUGGCAUAGGAAAAAUAAAAGUUUUAUUCCAAAUUUAAACUUUUCUAUGAAAAAGAAACCGACAAUAAUAGUAAAAUUAUAUUAAUUAGUACAAGCAUUUAUGACCACUUAUCAAUUUUGUCCCCUCAUGUUUAUAAUUAUUGCAACAAAGCUAGGCAAUUAGUUUGAUUGGUUAAGAUAAAAGAGAUUUUCAUCUCAACCACUAAUUACGUGAUAAUUUAUAACUAAGGUUACUAAACUGUCAAUAAAUUUAUGUUUUAGUCACUUAAUUUUAAAAAGUUACAAAAUAGUCAUUGAAUUAUUCGAAAGUUUCCACCUAAGUCAUUAGUUGUUAAAACUGCAGUUGUAUGGCUUUCUUUGUUCACACUCUUACGAAAGCUUUCAUUCAACAUCUCUUCUACUGUUCAGUUUUUUUCAUGAAACAAAUUUAAUGUCACGAAAUUACGAAUCAAAAUCUAAAUAACUUUCUUCUCUAAUAUCAAGCGCUGGCCGUUAGAUCAACUUGGAUCUAAGGUAUGUUAUUCUACUUGCUGAUAGAUACGAAUCCAUCGUAUUGAUCAUCGAAUUAUCACUUGGAGUUAGUUAGUUGGACUUAAAAAAAAAACUUAACAACCCAGUGACUUAAAUGAAAACUUUCGAAUGGUUUGAUGACUAUUUUGUAAGUUUUUAAAAUUGAAUAACCAAAACAUAAACUUACUAAUGGUUUAGUGACAUUGGGUGUAGUAUACCUUUAUAAUUAAUAGUUUGAUUAAGUUAAUAUCAUUUAUCGUUCCAAUUUAAUUGUAAAUGUAUCAUAAGCUCUCGUGUCUUUUACAAAGCAACAAAUAUUAUUUUGAGGAUAUUUAUAUUUUGAUAAAUAUAAAAAAGAUUCAUACACAAAAUGAGAUUAAAAAAAUUUGAAAUGAUGUAAUUUAAAAUACUUAUAUUUUAAAAUUUUCUAAAAUUUUGAAUUUUCUCAUCUAAACGGUAAAAGAACCAUGAAGGCCAUUGUACAAGGAGUAGGAUUGCAUUUUGCCCUUUCUACUAAAAAAAAGACAAAUUGGUCCAUUUACAUUAAAUCAAAGAGCAAACUAGUUCUUCUGUCUCUAUUGUUAAAAGCUUAUCCCUAAAUGCCAGCUUGGGGUCUACAUGACAUGUCAUAUGUAACUGUCUGAUUAUUUUGUCAUCUACGCCAGUUUUUAACAAUAAAAAUGAAGGAAAUUUUUAACAGAAAUGAUUUGUUUGCUAUUUGAUCUAAUGUAUAAGAACUAAUUUACUUAUUUUUUUUAAAAUAAAAAACAACAAAUAUACAAUUUAACUCGUAAUAUAAAUACCAAAUACCAUAGGAUACUACUUCUACCCAUCUAAACACAUACCUUUUUAGUGAAAUGAUGAAUGUUGAUAGAAACUAAGAUCAAUAAUUUUGUAUUACUUCAAAACAAGAUUCUAAUUCUAAUAAUUUAUAUAAUAUUAUUAUUUUUUCCAAAAAGAUUUUAUUGUAAAGUUAGAAGAGCAUAUUAUUUAUUGUGUAGAUAUCAAACUUGGAGAUAUAUGCCAAUUAUAUGACUAUUUUAAUCCAAAGUUCAGAAAUUUGAUAGACUAGUUAUAGCAAAGAAAUAAUAUUAUUACAAUUUACAAAUAAAAUCGAUUCAACUGCCCGAUUCCUAGGUCAAGUUUUUUAAUGAUUUUUCUCAUAAUGAUACCUUUACUGAUUUCAAAUUUUUAUGAUUUUUUUUUAUAAAUUUUAAGUUUAUAUCAAUUUUAAUAUUUUUUAUAAUUUUUUACAAAUUUUAUUUUUUUAAAAGAAUUUUAAUGAAUUUUUUAAAAAAUUUAACUAUUUUAAAUAAGUUUAUUAAUUUUACAAUUUUUUUAAUAAUUUUUAAUUUUAUAAUUUUAAUAAGUUUAUAUCAAUUUUAAUAUUUUUUAAUAUUUAAUUUUUUUUAUUGUUCUGUAAUUUUUUAAUCAUUGUUAUGAGAAAAAUAUUAGAUUAAACUAAAAGUUGUCACAUGUCACCAUCUAAUUGGUCUAUCAAUUUAUUUUAAUGGUCAACGUGCUCAAUGAUAGGAACUACUAACAAAGGGGCUUAAUUAAUUUUUUAGUUAACAACGGGAGCUUAAUUGGGUACGAAUUUAAUGCAUGAGCUUAAUUGAUUAUUUUGCAUUUCCUUAAGAGCUUUUUUUACAUAUAAGCUUAUUUGUUAAAAGGUGAUUGCUUGUUCAAACUCAAAAUCCCACGCCAAAAUUUGGAAGAGCCUAACAAAAAUAUUAGGCCUAAAAAUUAAAUUUAGGCAAAAAAAUUGUGCUCAUUUAAAUUAUGGAACGUGUUUGAGCUUCAAUAUUUAAGGCCCGAGCUUGAAUCAUGUUGGCUUAUUUUUUAGUUAUAUAAUAUAUUGUUUUAUUUAUAUAUAUCAUGUAAUUUGUAUUACAUAAAAAUUAAAUUUAUAAUAAUAUACUAAAAUUUUAACAUUAAAAAAUAUUAAUAAUAUGUACAUUUAAAAUUUUAAUAAAAAAUUUAAAAUACCAUAAAAUUUUGUAAAAUACAAAUAUAAAAAUAAUAUUGUCGGUCUUAUGAUGAGUUCGAGCUAACUUGGUUCAAGUUUGAGCAAGCAUGAAGUAUACUGAAACCAUAUAUAAACCCAUUCGAAACCUAACUCGGGUUGACUGAUGAAUGCCUCUAAUAUAAUUAAAAUUAAGGGAAAAACCCCGCAUAAAGAAUAAAAUAUAAUAGGUUAAAAUAUGCCAUAGGUCCUUAUACUCUUCACAAAUUUAGAAUUUAGUUCAUGUACUUUAUUUCUAGGAAUUUAGUUCAUCUAUUUUUUAGAUUUUAAAAACUUAAGUCCAACUAUUAAUACUGUUAAAAAUAUUUUGUUAAAUUUAGGUUCAUUACAACAUCAUUUUUUCAGUUACAUGGCUACCAAGUGGUUAUUUUUUAAUUUCAAAAUAUCACACCAUAAAAUUUAACCAAAAAAAGUUAACAGUGUUAACAAUUGAACCUAAAUUUUGUAAUAUGAAAAGUAGAGAGAAUAAAUUUUAAAAAAUAAAAGUAAAUGGAUUAACUUCCAAAUUUAUGAAUAGUACAAGGACCUAUACCAUAUUUUAACCAAUAUAAUACAUGCUAAUAUCUAACUAAACAAUGAAGAAAUUUCACAAAUUCCACCUUCAAAGUAGAAAUCUAAAAAAGAGAAAUUAAGAAAUUUAAAAAGUUGUGAACAAAUUAAUUUCAUAAUUAAAAUCUAUAAUCAAAACGAAGCCUAAUAUUUUAAACAAAUUCUAAUUUGGUAUGCAUGUUUUCAUGAACUAAAAAAUGUUAUCCAUUGACUUCAUCAUGAAAAAGAAAUACUGAAAUAAUUAAGAUGUUGAAUUACUAAAAGACACCCCACGCUGAGAUGUUGACACAUUGAUGGUUAAUUUACAGACAAAACAUUCAUUAUAUUUUGUUAUAUAACACAUUUAACCUAUUACUUUUAUUACACUUAUGUCGGUCCAUGUCAUGUUGUCUAAUAAAGAUGUGGUUCUUGUUGUAUAUAUUUUAUAGCAAUUUUAAAAAUAAAUAAAUUAGUUUUUUAAAGAAAAUUAGAGUAAUUUAGUUUUUAUUAAUUUCGAAAGUGAUCAAUUAAAGAUUAUGAUAUUAAAGUUUUUCAUCAAUUGGACAUGAUUUUGAUUGGUAUAAUAAUAAAUUUAGCUUAAAGUUUACAUAUUCUGUCAAUUUAGUCUUAAUUUAACAAAUUUACCAUGCAAUAUUUGUGUAAAUAUGUAAAUGUUGAGACUGAAUUUGUUUAACUUUUUAGAAUUAAGGUCAAAAUAAUAAAAUAUGUAAAUAUCGAAGAUUGAAUUUGUUAUUCUUUCAAUCAAAAUUAUGUACACUUGAUAGAAGAUAUUAACGCAAUAAUUAAUUGUCUUUAAUUACUUAAUUUUAAAAUUAACAAAAAAUAAUUUAUUUUAUUUUAAAAAAAACCUGAUCACGCCUUUCAACCAUAUUUUUUUAUAGGUUCUUUUUUCUUUACUUUUGUAGUUAUUAAAGUCAACUUGUUGUAUAGAUUUGAGAUUUGCCAUACUUUUGACUUUGAAAAAGGUAUGGGUAGCUUGUUUCUUUGAAUUUUAUUUAAAAAAUUAAAAAUAAAUGUUGUAUUGAAAUAUUGUUGUUGGCAAUGGGUUGAUUUGUUAAAUGGUUACUUUUUUUUCAAAAUAAAUAAUUUAAAAAUCCAUAUUUUUCUAACUUGCAGCCUCACAUAAUGUUUAUAAUUUGAUUGAUAAAUAUAGAUUAAAAUAUGCUAUAAUUAUUUGUAUUCUUCGUAAAUUUAAAAUUUAAUUUUUAUAUUUUUAUAUUUAGGAAUUUAAUUUUAUUACUUUUUAAAUGUUAAAAUUUAGGUUCAACUAUUAAUAUUAUUAAAAUUAAGUUUAUUAUAAUGCCAUUUUUUUAUUUUAAUUACUACCAAGUGAGUAUUUUUUAUUUCAAAAUGUCAUUCCAACAAAUUUAAUAAAAAAAAUUCAACAGUGUUAACAAUUGAACUUUAAUUUUGAAAUACCAAAAGUGUAGGGACUAAAUUCUAAAUUUGUGAAUAGUAUAGAGGCCUAUAACAUAUUUUAACCAUUAACAUAUUAGUUAAACCCAAUUUCUUUUAAGAGAAUCAAAUAUAGCAUAUAGGAGAGGAAUCCAUUAACACCAAUGUAAAACUAUUUAGUACAUGUAAUUUUUGAAUUAAUCAAUUUUAGUCCCUGUAUUUUUUAAAAUUUGAAAAUUUAAUCCUGACUUAAAUAGUAGAAGUUAAAUCUAUUAGGUUAAAUUCAAUUAGUAGUCAUAUACUACGCAUACAGUUGCAAAUUUAGUCAAUAUUUUCUAAUUAAAUUAUUUUAAGUCUUUAUACUUUUCGAAGUUUGAAAUUUCAAUCUUGACAGAAAUGAUAGCCGUUAAUUCAUAAAUUGGGUUCUUAGUGAGUAAUAUAUGAAAAUAACAAGUUGACAUGGUAUUACAUAUAUGAUAAUAUGUUUAUCGCGUUGAUUUUAGAACUAAUAGAACUUAACUUAAUGAAUUUAACAAUUAUGGUUUGUUGAGGACUGAAAUUUUAAAAUUUAAAAAGUAUAGAGACUAAAAAUGAUCAAAUUAAAGUACAAGAAUUAAAUUCAUAAUUUUCAAAAAAUAGAGAGACUAGUAGCACAAUUUAACCAAAUAAAAUUAAUUAUAGGCGAAAGGAAAUAAAGUUAAAUAAACAUAUAGGUAUUAAAAAAACCAUAAAUGUUUUUGUUAGUAAUUGUGUGACUUGAAUCCCGACAUUUGUUAAAGAAAUAAAUACAGCGACAAAAUAAGGGGAUCUGUGGGGGCGAAAGGCUAAGAGCCAUAUUGCACAAGUUGAGUCUGUAUAAAACUAUACUUCUUCUAUUUGACUUUGACUAGAACAAGAUUUCUCAAUCCUUAAAUAGAUGUAGUCGAAAUUUCUCUUGUAUCAUUCGUUUUUUAACAUUAGUAAAUUUCUCCUCCUCUACCUGUAAUUUUUUUCCUAAACAAUCAUUCUACCAUCAUUAUCGACGUUUAUUAAUAUACAUUUUAUUUUAAUGUUUUCACCUACUGAUUUGGUAUUUGAGUAUUCAUACUAUCAAAUUAGAUAAUAGUCUAAUCACAGGUUUAGGUAUUGAAAAAUUUGGUAGGAGAUAGAAAAGUUCUGAAUGCAAGUCAAAAUAUAUAUAGAAUUUGGAGAAGGAAAGAAAACUACUUGGGCAAAUCAAUGACAAAGGGACAGCCAUGUUUUGAGACUUAAUUGGGUUAAUUGCAUGCAGCUGUUGAAUAACUCACAUCACUGAUUGAGAUAUGGACCCAAAGUUUGAAUAGAGAUUCAAAGGUUAAUUGGGUUUCUAAUGGUCCCCUUUAACCAUAUUCCACAAUUACAAAAUAUCUAACCAAAAGUUAUAUAAAGAUUCGAUAUAAUAUUCAUCUACAUUUUACGGUUCGAGUUUAUGGUUGUCCUUAUUAAUAAUAAUAUUUUUAAGUUUUAAAUUUACGUUCUCUCCAUAAAAAUGUAAUAUGUUUUAUUGUUAUAUUCAACACUUAUUGAUUAAAGAUUUUCCUCUUUAAAUUUACUAACAUUCCUAUCUUAAAAAAUAUUUUGUAAGAUAAUUAUCUAUGAAAUUAUAACAUAUUCGUAUCUAGCUGAAAACAUUCAUGUAACAAAAUUAUAAUUAUAAAAAAAUAUAGAAGGAUAAAAAUACCUUCGUAGUAAUACUUAUUACUUAAUAAAAGUAAUAGAUUUUUUAUAAUUUCACAAUUGAGUUGAGACCCAAUUUUGAGGUUAAAUAAUAUCAUAUGCAUUUUUUUUAGAUCUUACAUAAAAUAUAAAAUGACAAAAAUACCCUUAUAGUAAUACUUGUUAUUUAAUAAAAAAAAGAAUUUUCAGUAAUUUCACAAUUCACUCUGGAUAUUUUUUAAAUAAAAAAUAAAUUUUGAAUAUGAAAUUAUUGUUAUAUAUUUAAUUAUUAAUGAUUUUAAAUUAUAAUUUAAUUAUUUUUAUUAUAAUUCUAAAACAUAUUUUUUUAUUACAUGCAUUUAUCACACGCAUAUAUGCCUAUGGCCCGACUUGUUAGAAAAAAAAGAAAAUAAUUGUUAUUAUUAUAUAAAAAAAAUAUUCACCAAUAUUUGCUCAUAUUUUUGGUAAUGGUUGUCAAUUUAUGAAGUCAAAAAGUAGUUAGCUAAGAAUGAGUUCAUAUGAAUAUAAAAGUUAAAAAAAGAAAAUGGUUUUUUAGGUAAAUAUUCUGUUCUUUAUGAACUUGGAUUUGCAUGCAUCAACUUCACUUUCAUGGAAGGCAUUUUUCUUUUCAUUUCAAUGUGGUCCAAUAUAUCUUCCUCCAUUAACUUAACCUUUUUUUAUUGGUCCUCCAUUGUCAUUUUCUUCCCCAAUUCUCUUCAACUUUUAGGUACAUGAUUUCUAGAUGCAGUUUAGACAUGGGGUUUGAAAGUGAAUGUCCACAUGCAUGAUCAAAAAGUAGUUUGGAAAUGAAAAAUACAUGUCUUGUAAUAGUCUAUCUUUUCCUUAUAGACAUAGUCAAGGGAUAUUUAUUCAUUGUGUCUCAAAACAAAUGUACAAUUUCUGCAUAAACACUACAUUAAUGGCAUUGUUCUCUACAUUUCUUAUAUGCUUUACUGUUAUUAACCUUGUAUUUGCAGAAGCUAAGGUCUACAUGGUUUUAAUGGAGGAUAAGCCUACUUUCUCUCUCACAACCAAACAAAAAUACAUGUAUGUAUGCAUGCAUGUAUGUAUAUGAAAGUUCCCGAUUCAAUGCUAGCAUUGCACUAGGACAAGUAAAAAAAUAUAGGUGCAAAGGAUUGGUUUUGUGUUGAGUUUCAGGUUUUGAUUGGGAAGGAAGCAAUGGGUAUGUAUGUAUGUAUGUAUGUAUGCAUGUAUGCAUAUGAAAGCUCAUGAUUCAAUGCUAUGGUUAUGUGAUGAACUAGAAGUAAAAAAAUAUGGGUGCAAAGGAUUGGUUGUGUUGAAUGUCAGGUUUUGAUUGGGAAGGAAGCAAUGGAUAUGUAUGUAUGUAUGUAUGUAUGUAUGUAUGUAUUAACCUCCCUAUCUUUCAACGUGUAGGAGUGACAAAGAUUAUACUGUUUACAAAGAGCAAAUCAGUAGCAGCCACACUAUUUUCUUGGAAUCUCAUUUACAAAAAGGAUCAUAUACAAAACUUUAUAGCUAUACACAUUUGCUCAAUGGCUUUGCAAUCCAUGUUACUUCAAAAGAGGUACAAAAUUAUAUAAGAUCUUUUGAUGGUCUUGAAAUGUAUAUGAGGUGCUUGAACUUUUUUGCAGGUUCUUAGUAUCCUUCGAAACACGACCGGGGUACGGUCGGUCCAUGAGGACGUCAAAAUCGAGAAACUUACUACGCAUACACCCGAUUUUCUCGGAAUACCAGCACAUGUAUGGCCAAGAUUAGGUGGUGUAGAAGGAGCUGGUGAAGGGAUUGUGAUAGGUUUCAUUGAUACUGGGAUAAAUCCUAACCAUCCUAGUUUUAUGAUAAAUUCUUCAUCAGGGUUUUUAAAUAGUACAAAGUUUAAAGGGAAAUGCGACACUGGUGAGCUAUUCCCUUCAACAGCAUGUAAUGGAAAGAUAGUAGGUGCUCAAUAUUUCGCGCAUGGAGCAAUAGCUAACGGUGAGUUUAACGCUACUCGUGAUGUGUCGUCUCCUUACGAUGCAGAUGGACAUGGAAGGCAGGUUAUGCCCAUACAAUGAUAAAUUUAUAUCUGUAACUGUUAUUUUAGUUCUAGCUGACAAACACAAUAUAUACAUGUUCUAGCCAUACAGCAUCUAUAGCUGCAGGGAACCAUGAUAUUCGAGUGAUCGUCGAUGGUUUCGAUUAUGGUGCUGCGAGUGGAAUGGCUCCAGGAGCUAGGAUUGCUGUGUAUAAAGCUCUUUAUACUUUCGGAGGGUAUAUGUCGGAUGUUGUGGCCGCAGUUGAUCAGGUUCGAGAAUAUUGCUUUAUGAGAUAAUUGCCAUACAAUCUCUAUAAGGUGAUUAACAUGUUUUCUUAUUUAUUUAGGCAGUUGAAGAUGGUGUUGAUAUACUUAGCCUCUCGGCCGGUCCAUCGAGUGUUCCUUCCGGGGAUUCUGCUUUCCUAGAUGUGCUCGAAUUGCAGCUCUUGUUUGCUACCAAAGCUGGUGUUUUAGUUGUUCAAGCUGCUGGAAAUGGUGGACCUUCUUCUAGUUCAGUCAUUUCAUUUAGUCCUUGGAUCACUAGUGUUGCUGCAUCUAUUACCGAUCGUAAAUAUAACACUACCAUCGUGCUCGGAAAUGGACAAAGCUUCACCGGAACUGGCCUUUCACGUAAUUUAUAUUCGUAAUUCCGUAUUUCUAAUUCUUCUCAACGGUUCUGAAUCUUCUGAUGUUAACAUACAACUUGAUCUUCAACUUUGCAGCUCCCACAGAUGCUGAAAUAGAUUACAAUAUAGCUGCAGCAGCUGAUGUAUGUGUGAGGAAUGCUACAAUCAUCACAGUUGAUAGUUGUCAAAAUCCUGAAUCUUUCAUCCGACCCUUGGUCUAUAAAAGGCUUAUUAUUUGCACGUACACAUUCGAAUAUGAGUACGAAGCUGCGAGCAUUGCAACCGUUGCGGACACUAUGAUGGAAAUAGGGGCAGCUGGUUUUAUAAUCACAUUGGAUCCUAAUAUUGGUCCUGAGGUAGUGAAAGGAACUAUGCUGACCCUGCAGAUCCCUGCCAUUGUCCUUAACGACAUGCAAGCUUCAUCGGUACGUUACUUUCUCUACCGAUAGACCUUCUUCGGGUUUAAUUGUUAAUACGUAUUUAUCGUUCCUUGUUCACAUCCUAUUAGGCUUUAUGGGAGUAUUACAAUGCCAAUACUAUUAGGGACAAAAGAGGACAAGCAGUGGUAUUUGCUGCAAAAGCAAGGAUAUUAGAUGGAAGGCAAGCAAUUUAUACGGGGCAGGCUCCGGUUGUGGCAUCCUACUCUUCUCGAGGUCCUGAUGUGAAAAAUGCACUUAUGCAAACUGUUGAUGUACUUAAACCAAAUGUCAUGGCCCCUGGAACCUCUAUUUGGGCUGCAUGGAGUCCUGAUAGUGAAGGAGAUAAAUACGUCAAAGGUAUGAACUAUGAAUGGCUCUCGAUUUAUACGUUGGGGGUGAUUCCAUAGAACUUAACCGAAGAUUAUCUAUUUUUUGAUGCAGGGCAAAGUUUUGCACUUAUAUCCGGUACAAGCAUGGCUACCCCACACAUUGCUGGCAUUGCUGCUUUGAUCAAGCAAAGACAUCCUAAAUGGGGUCCUGAUGCUAUCACAUCCGCAAUGAUGACAACUGCCGAUAGAACUGGUCAUUCAGGUGCCCCUAUUCUAGCUGAAUCAUCAAACGAACUUAUUCAUGCUACUCCAUUCGAUUUUGGGGCAGGUUCCAUCAAUGUUUCUCAAGCCAUGAAACCAGGACUCAUAUUCAAUGUCACUUUCAAACACUAUGUUCAAUUCCUUUGUGCUGUUCCAGGUAUCGAUGUCAAGUCCGUGAAAAAAGCUGUAGGAGUUGCUUGUCCUACUAAAAAUAAGUUCAAGUGCUCGGAUUUGAAUCUAGCAAGUGUAACGAUCUCAAAUUUAGUUGGAAAAAGAAAGGUGAUUCGAUAUGUAAAAAAUGUGAGUCAUAAGGAAAAAUAUACCGUACAUAUAAAGGAGCCAUUAGGCGUAAAUAUUACCAUAAUUCCGGAGUCAUUUAGGAUCAAAAGAAGAGGUUCAAGGCGCCUAAGGCUCAUAUUUGAAGCAAUUGAGGCAACAAAUGCUUACACAUUUGGGGAAAUGGUGUUAAAGGGUAAGAAACACAUUGUAAGAGUUCCUUUAGCUGUUUAUGUAGGUUCUACUUCAAGUUCUUGAUAUUUAUCUAUCUUCUCAAACAAGCAAAUGGAGAAAUGUAUUACUUGCUCUUCAAGAAACCGACCUCUUUAUUUGUAAAGAGCUUGUUCAUUAAAUAAUCAUCACUUUCUUGUUCAACAAAGGGAAAUCACCAUUCCUAGCAGCUACAAAUAAAUGUAUGUAUAUAUAUUUGACAGCAUAAAAAAUAUUAUUGCAAAAGUAACACGACGGAGGAAUUGCAUCACGACUAUUACUGUUACGUUAAGAAUCGUGAGUCCACUAGUCAUGGAGAGCUGGCAGCAUCAAUGGGCUGGGCUUAGGGGUUACUGUUGCAUCCUUGCCCAAACCUGAACCAGCCUGGUAAGUGAUUGCUUCUAUUAGCAUAGCCACCACAAGAACCGUGACACGAAUAUUACUAGGAUUAUUAUGAGAACCAAUUCCCAAAUAUUUGUCACGUUGAUCAAUCAAAGUUAACUUCCUGGUCAAGUAAUCUAUUCGAAUGUAAGUAUGUAAUUAUGUAAGUAUAUUACAUCACUUUUUUUUGUUGCGUAUAUUACAUCACUUUUUUUUGUUGCUUUCCAAUUAUCUAUCGAAUAUUACUUAGAUAUCUUCCUAACAGUUCCACUGUAAAUAUGCAUAGUUUGACAAACGAAUUAGCCAUAGUUAUUUAUUGAGCAGGCAUCUUCUUGAUAUUUUUGGAGCCCUAGGUAAAAUAAUAAAAUGGAGUUUUAGAUUCAUUAAAAGUUGGUAAAAAAGUAAUUAGCCUUAAUGUUUGCAUAUUAAACUAAUAAAAAAGCUCAUGUCAGUCUACUAACAAAUUUAGUCCUCUAAUGUUUACAUAUUCUAUUACUUUUAUCUUAAAUAUAAAAAAUUCAACAAAUUUAGCACUCAAUAUUUGUAAAAUUUAUUAUUCUAGUUCAAAUUCUAAAAAGUUUAAUAAAUUUAGCCUCAAUAUUUAUAAAAUGAUAAAUUAUAAUCUUUUUAAAAAAAAUGUAAAUGUUAAGGACUAAGUUUGUCAAGUUAAUUGAGUUUGUUCAUCUUCUUGUGGACUCUUAACCUAUUUUUUUAAUCCUCAGUAAACUUCCUUCUCAGUUUCACUCAAGGGUUUUAAAAAUAAUAUCCCUUGGAAAAAUUUCAGUCAAAUAUAAGGAUAAUACUAACAAAUUAAGACUGUUAUGUCAAUGUGUGCUCACUUCUUUUGCACAUCUAUAUAUUCGUUCAAAUAUAUACUUCUGUUCAAAUUCUGCUGACAUUGCAUGCAUUAGCCUACAAGCAACCUCCUCUUUAUAAGACAACACUGCAAAUAAACUCAGCAAAUUCAUUGUUGUGAAAGAUCACCCCCCAAAAAAUCACAGCAUUAUGGAUGAUCAGUUGCGGACCGUGGCACAGAAUGGAGACAUUGAUGCAUUGUAUAGAAGGGUUGCCGAGGAUCCAUAUAUCCUGGAUCGUAUUCAUCGGCUACCGAUUGCCGAUACACCCUUGCACCGGGCUGCCAGGUCAGGUAAACCCCAUUUUGCAAUGGAAGUUGCAAAUUUGAAGCCAUCACUUUCUUCGAAGCUAAACCAUAUGGGACUUAGUCCUCUCCAUCUUGCUCUGCUGAAUAACUGCAGUCAUAUGGUUAGAGGACUAAUCACGAUCAAUAGUAAGCUGAUCCGUGUCAAAGGAAAGGGGAUGAUUACACCGUUACACUAUUUAGCUGAGAUCGAUGAUGCUGAUGUUUUAGCUGAAUUUUUAUUUGCUUGUCCAUCAUCUAUUGAAGACACCACAGUUAAGUUUGAGACCGCAGUGGACAUAGCCGUGAAAAACCGUUCAAUUAGAGCUCUCAAAGUCCUUCUGGGAUGGCUAAAUCGAGUUAACAAAGAAGAUAUUCUGAAUUGGAAAGAUGAAGACGGUAACACAGCCUUGCAUAUUGCUGUAUCUACUAAUCAGCCUCAGGCAAGCUUUAAAUAUGCUCAUUAACAUUAUUUGCUACACAAUUAUAGUUAAUUAAUUUAAACUUUGUAUAUGAUGAUGUAGGUUGUGAAGUUGUUGGUUAAGCAUGUCAAUGUGAAUGUCAAGAACUCCAAUGGUAUGACAGCUAUGGACACAUUUCACCUUCAAGCAACAAUGCAGAACUUAGAGGUCGGUAAGAUUCUAAGUCGUGCUAGAGCAAAAACGGCAUCCAAUCUUACCUCAAACAUGACUCUCAGAGAUUACCUGAGCAGGAAGUUAACUCUGAUCGAUAUACGAGACAAAUAUUUGGGAAUUUAUUCUCGUAAUAAUCGUAGUGAUAUUCGUGCUAUGGUUCUUGUGGUGGCUAUCCUGAUUGUGACAGCCACCUAUCAGGCCGGCCUCAACCCUCCAGGGGGAUACUGGCAAGAUAACUAUAAACCAGCAACAACAAAUAAUGGUAGUAGCAGUGCCAACAACACCAAUACCAGCUUGGGCCAAGAUCAAAGGCCACAUUAUGCAGGACAGAUAAUCAUGAAACCUUUUAAUCUAUUCUAUUUCUUCACGCACAAUAGUUUGGCUUUCUAUUUAUCAGUUUGGACGAUUCUGGUUGUUAUAACAGGCCUUCCAUAUUCCAUGAUCCUUUACAUAUGUACAUGUUUUCUCCUUCUUUCAUAUUAUGCUUCGCUAGUUAGUAUCUUUCCAUCACACCCAAACUCUUCGAUUUUCACAGCUGCCAGUACUUCAUACAAAAACUUACUUUAUGUGUCCGCAGCAGCGACAUAUGUAUUUCCUGUGAUAGCGCUUGUUAAACAUGAAUGGGUUAAAAACCGGGUGGUCUUAAUGAGAGGAAACAGGGUAGGCACCAUUCCAGAAAUAUGAAGAGAUGAGGAAACUAUGUUUGUUUUUAUGUUAUAGAUUUUAGAGUGUAUUUGAAUCUGGUGUUGGUUUAGGUUUAAUCCAAAAUCAGAGGAAACAGGGUAAUUACCUUUAGGCGUAAAUGUUACCAUCUUUCCAAAAUCAUUCAGGAUCAAAAGAAGAGGUUCAAGGCGCCUAAGGCUUGUAUUUGAAGCAAUUGAGACAAUAAAUGCUUACUCAUUUGGGGAAAUGGGUAAAGAGCACACUGUAAGAGUUACUUUAGCUAUUAAUGUAGGUUCGACAUCAAGUUGAUAUUUCUCUCCCUUUUCAACCAAGCAAAUGAAGAAAAUGUGUUACUUGCUCUUCAAGCAAUCAACCCUUUAUUUCUACGAGUUUGUUCAUUAAUUCAUCACCAUCAUCAUUCACUUUCUUGUUCAACAAAGAGAAAUAACUAUUCGUAUAAGGUACAGAUGAAUAAAUGAAUUGUAUGCACAAGUUUAAGGUGAUACAUUGUUACUACUAAUUAAAGGCUACGAAAAUAUUGAGAAAUUUCUCUCAAUUCAUUCAUGUUUCUAAGAAAAUAUACAUAUGUUUGUGGACACCUAAAUUUGUCCGAGCAGUUAUUUUUGAGUUUAUUGGGCAUCGAUAUUAUUGAAUUAGUAGGUUGUGUGAACUUUUCUUUAUAGAAUUGACUUUUAAAUUAAUUCUAGAAUCGAGUUAAAAGUUUAAUUUGAUUUUAGAAUUAAGGUUAAAAAGUAAAGUUUUAAAAUAAGAAAAAAAAUUUGAAUUUUUAUCAAAUUGUGAAGGUAAAUCAAACUUUUAAAUCUUUUUAAUUUGAAUUGAAAAUGAGAUUCAGCUUUUUUUCCAAAAUUUGAAAAUCUGAUUAUGCUGAACCUAUUUUUUAAAGGCAGCCUAAUUUAUAUUUCGAGCCCAAAUUUGAUUCUGGCCGUUAGGCCCAUUUUUUGUUAACAAGUUAGCAGCCAGGGUUUUGGAACCCUGGCCCUCUGCUGCUGCAUAGUGUGAAGGUGAUGAGAUAGGGCGCCAAGAAAAAUAAUGACAGAUUGUAAAGUUGAUCAAUUGUCAUAAUAAUCCUAGUGAUAUUCGUUCUGUGUUUCUUGUGGUGGCUACCGUGAUUGAGACAACCAUCUACCAGGCUUGCCUCAAUCCUCCAGUUGGGUACAGGCAAGCUGACCAGAUAUUAGCAGCAGCAGUGCCAACAACACCAAUACCAUAUAGGAUAGUUGCCUGUCCUAAAACAUGAAAAUAAGAGGAAACUAUGUACAUGUAACAUGUUUUAUGUUUUUAGUUUUAGAGUUUAACUGAAUCUGAUAUCAAUUUAGGAUUUAUCUAAAAUAUACUAUAGUUUGGACAUUGCAGUUGUGUACUUAAAAAAUGUUUAGAUGUCAAAUGUUGCCUUCUUCACCUCUCAUUGCUAGUUGCACCCACUCGUUUAUCCAUGGCAUGAAAAACAUCUAGACCUGUCAAUUCUAACUCGAGCUUAGCACGAACAAAAUGUCGAUCAUCGAUCGGACAGUCCUGACUAAUACAUUUCUCCUACAAGUGUGUUCUGGAACAUAAAAAGCAUUCACUUGUUUGUUUCAUUGUUUCACCACCUUUUGCUAUAAUCAGCUAUGCCAUUAUUGCUCUUCCUCUCCAUUGUCCACCCCCAAAAUCUGCAGGAAACGACACUUGGAAAAUCCCAUCAUCCAUCCAUUGUUGCUUCUUUUGACUUAUAUGUUCAUCUACUUUACACCUUGCAUUAGCCUUUUUAGUUUCUCUUUUAAGCUUUUUGCAUUGCGAGAGACUAAAGAUGAAUUUUGGGUAGUGCUGUGCUUCAUUUAAGAAAUAAGUUAUAAGUCCCUGCACUUUUCAUAAAUACGGAAUUUAGUCCCUGUACUUUUAUUUUUAGGAAUUUAAUUAUCUACUUUUCAGAUUUCAAAAUACAAGUCAUAACAAUGUCAUUUUUUUUACAUAGCUACUAAGUAAGUAUUUUUUUUUUCAAAAUGUUACCAAACAAUUGGAUCUAGAUUUUGAAAUCUGAAAACUAUAAAGAUUAAUUUCUAAAUUUGUGAAGAGUAUAAGGAAAAUGUAUAUAUCGCUGGUGUAGCUCCGUCGUAACACUACCUUUUGUAGUUAUGUUCCUCUCUUUCACCCCCAACAUUACCAAGCGUCGAGAGAUGGCCAGGGGAUGGUGUUUUUAUAGACACAUGGACGUAUCAUUGGUCCCAAUUCUCAACCAUGUCCACUCCAUUAUUUCUUCAUAGUGGCAAGAACUUGUUAAUGGAGAGAGUGAUUUUAUUAUUUAAGCAAAUAAAAUUGGUGCUGGUCACUAUCUCAAAAAGAACCCUCUUCUCAAUCUUUCUAACCAGGUGUUAAUCAAGUACAACUAGAGCUAUAAUACCUAUUUUUUUUUCUCUUUUUCACUAGUUAUUAACGACCUUGAGAUAGCCAAAUGGAAUACCAGUAAGAAAAGCCACCAACCCACUUCACAAAUAAAAUAGUACCCGUAGGGACCUAUAUGCAUAUACCUAAAUCGUAUACAAAAUUCAAACUUGUAAUCUAUUCUUGGUUCCUAUACAUGCCGACAUAAAUUUAAACGUGUCAAUACUUAGAAAAAAAUAUAGGUUUUAAGAUCACUUAUGUAAUAUAAAACCUGCAAAAAAAAACAUAAAACGAAAAGGGUGCUUUCCACCAUGAAUAACAGUAAUUUAAGAGAUUUAGCUGCUUGGUUAUUGGUUUAACGGUCGUGGUAGUGCGUUAAAGCUCACCAAAGUGAUAGGUUUUUGGUGGGUUUUAUUGUACUUGGCUCUUCUCAUUUGAUGUCUACUGAAGUAGUCAACCAUAAUUAUCAGGUUAUUAAAAGUGAUAUACAUCAAUAGAGCAAACUUGGUGUUGGUUGGAACUUUUAUGUCAUGAUUUGAUAUUUAAAUUAUUAUCGUUUUUUUAUUUUGGUAUCUAAUUUUUUUUUUCUCAUAGUAAUACCUAAAGUAUUCAUCCUUUAUAGUUUUUGGUCCAAAAACUUAAUAGUGCGAACAUCAUUUGUCUACCUAUUUUUCCUUGUCACCGAUAAGUAGGCAAUGAUGUGCCUGUUGACCAUAGACAAAUCUCGAAAUUAUUUUAUUGAGAUGAAAAUUAAAUUAUAAAUUUUUUAUAUGUCAAAUACAGAUUUUAUCAUAUAUUGAUUUAUGAUUUUAUAAUUUUUGAAAGGACUAAAUAGAUUUUUUUCAUUUUUUAAAGGGGGGCUAAAGCAUAUUUUUCCUUACAUUAAUUUAUAAUUGAUUAAUUAUAAGGGGGCUAUAAUUGUAACUUUUCAAUUUUGGGUGCUAGGGCCCCUGCUUGCCUCAUUGUACCGAUCCUUGCUGUUGACCAUAGAUAGAUCAAGAAAUUUUUUCUAGGAGGUCAAAAUUAAAUUAUAAAUUUUUAAUAUGAUUUUAUGAUUUUUAAAAGGAUUAAAUAAAUUUUUUUAUUUUUUUGAGGGCUAAAGCAUAAAUUUUUCUUAUAUUAAUUUAUAAUUUAAUCAAUUAUAAGGGAUUAUAAUUACCAUUUUUUAAAAUUUGAGGGCCAGGACUUCUGCCUACCUCUUGUAUUCGCCCCUAUCUUGAUCACUUACUAAAAUCUGUAUGUUGUUGUCUGGCAUUGACCAAUCGUUGAUUGACGCUAAUGUUUGACUUUUGACCAUUUUAAUAUAGAUUUUAAAAUUUUAGAAUUAUUAUUUUUCAUUUUCUCAAAUUGCUUAUAUUUUAUAUAAUGUUAUAUAUUAUUUUAUUUUAUAUAAUUGGUAUAUUAUAAAAAUUUAAAUUUAAAUUUAAUAAAAUUUGAAUUUAUAUAUAUAUAUUUCCCACUUGUUUUAUAUUUUAUAUGAUGUUUGUAUAUAAAAAAUUAUAUAUUAUAAUUUUUUGAAUUUUUGAAUUUAAUAAAUUUAGUAAAAAUUGAAUUUAUACAUAUAAUUUGGAAUUUUUAUACGAUGUUUUUAUAAUUUUUUAUUUUAUAUAGUUUAUAUAAAUUGAUUUUUUUAAAUUUUAUAUAUUUAUAUAUUUUUUAGAUAUUAUAUAUACAUAUAUUUGUAUUUUGAAUUUUUUUAAUGAAUGUGAUGUCAUUAAUUGUCAUGUAUAAAGAACUUUCAUGUGGUAUCUUCUUAUUGGUUGGUUUGCCAAUUAAUCUUUUUAGCUCUUUUUACUUUUUCCACUCAAAUCUAUACUGGAGUAAUGGCUUAGAUUCCAAGGGACAAAAAAAGUUAAUACUAAAAUGGAAAACAUGUAUACUUUGGAGGGUCUAAACUGAUAUUUCAUACCUUAAGCUCCUGCCUUUGGUGUCGUCCCUGUUUUUGGAUACCACUAAAGAAUCAACACACCCUAAAGGAUUUUUGUUCUAUAUGAGCAUUGCUGUUCAGCGGCAUGUAUUCCUAGAUUCUCUUUAAAGUCGAAAAACAAAAUUUUGAAGAUGCAUUAAAUAUUUGAAGCUGUAAAAAAAAAUAGUUUCACAUUAUCAACACGAUAGUCUAAUAAACACAAAUUCUAAAUCCGAAAAUGUGGGAUUCUCUAAUUUCAUCUAUCCAUUGAUAGAGAAAGAGAAGAAAUGGAGAAAACAUAGAGUCUCCACUAUUAUACUUUAAUGCUUGGAAACCAAUUGUAGGAUAAACCAAUUGUAGGAUGGCACAAUCGGACAAAGCGGCCGAGUUGUUCGCUUACGGAGUAGUCGAAGUAGAACACAAGCGAAUCCCCUGCCGCUACAGUGGUUACAAGAUGCAAUUCAAGGUUCAUGAACAUAGCAAGUACCCAAAUUACUUGGCCAUUGUAAUAUUAUACCAAGCUGGCCAAACUGAAAUUCUAGCUGCAGAUAUUUGGCAGGUAAAUUGAAGUGUUACAUUGUUAAUGAGCUCAAGGAAUUUUAAAGGUUUAAAUUAUUUUUUUACAUCUAGACUUAGCAAUUGUUCUUAUUUUGGGGCUUGAAUUUUUUUUUUCCAAGUUAAUUUCUGAACUUGAUAAUUUUUUCACAUUAGAACAAAAAAGACGAUUGUUUUCAUAUUAUUGAAAUUUAAUUUUAUUUUGAAAACCCUAAAGCUAAGGACCCAAUAUAAAAAAAAUUGCGAAGUUGUAAGACUAACCUAGACUAAAAAAAGUUCAUGUUCCAAUAUGAGAAUAAUUUUCUAGUUCAAGCUUUCAAUGUGGGAUCAAUUGUCAAGUUCAAAAAUUAAGAAUAAAAAAAUUUUACGUUCCAUAUUUUAAAUCCCAGUUAUAUAAAUAUAAUUGUGAAGUUCAGACCUCAAAUAGUGAUUUAACUUAAUUUUAAAAGCAUAGUAAUCAAAAAUUAAGUUGGUGAUAUGAAUUAUGCAGGCGGAUUGUAAGGAAUGGAUAGGGAUGAGGAGGGCAUACGGGGCGAUUUUCGACACAACGUAUCCACCAUCGGGGAGCGGUCACUUUGAGAUUCCAAGUUCAAGGUAGCGCGGGUGUGUAUUGGGUGCAGGCAUCAAAUGUUAUUCCUAGUGAUUGGAAGGCUGGAGUUGCUUAUGAAUCAGAUAUUGAGCUUGAAUGAAAUGUAUCGCAAUUGUACUUCUUGAGAAAAAAGAAAGUAGGAACCUUUUAAAAGAUAAUUAAUUUCCUCAAUUAUAGUUGCUUCUUUAUUAUUAUGUUAUUAAGUAGGUGUUUAUAAGUCAGCAAAGUGCUCAAAACUUUGCCUUGUGCUUAAUAAACAAAAAACUUGGGUAUGUGUACUUUUGCUUGAUGUAUGUGUAUCAACCAAUAAAGUUGCACUAUUGAGAGAUAUUUGCCUUAUAGUUCUUUAUAACUAAUAAUAAUAGUAGCACACAUUAUCUGCCAUAUUUUUAUGUGUUAAAGAGUUACAAGUAAAUGAGUUGGCAAAUUUCAUAAUUUGGCCCCUAUUCGUUUAUUAACCAAUAAUAGAGCUACCUAGAGUUGGUAUUAAGUAAAUUCCCAUCUCGCUGAUUGAAUACAAACUUUAAUUAUAACACAUUAUUCAACAAUUAGCAAUAGUGUUGUGCGGAAGCGUGUAAAAGAGUAAAAUUAUUGUACUAAAAAAUCACACUAAGUUCAAUUCCCAGGAAAGAGAGGUGGAUCACAAGGAUCGCUUAAGUACCAGGUCUUUCCUAGCCAGAAUAUCCCUCAAUCGUAAUUUAAUAGCACAAUAAAUCACUACAAUCACACACACAAUUCAUGCAGAAUAAUACAAUAAAGAACACAAGAAUUUAACGAGGUUCAGCAAAUUUUGCCUACGUCCUCGGGCACUACCAAAUAUUUUUCACUCCAAAAUACAAGUGAGAAUUUACAAAGAGAGAGAGAGAAAACAAUACCUUAAGUAGAGAAUGGCAAGUUUGAGAUACAGAAUGAGAGAUGGUUAUGCCUAUUUAUAGUUGAGGUUCAGGGAUCAACUUGCAAAGUCACUUUACAAUUUAGGGACCAUAUAUUGCAAAUAUCUCAGAUUUUAUUAUGCCAAUAUCUCGAUACCCAUAUCUUUGACUUUCCAAUAUUUGAUACCCAUAUCUUUGACUUUCCAAUAUUUGAUACCCAUAUCUUUGAUUUUCCAUAAAUAUGGAUAAUUCCCAAUAAUCUCCACCACGAAGAUUUGAUUCGAGUAAUCUUAUCUUCACACAAUUCUCUCUGCCUUUGUCAACAACACUUGAUAGUGCCUUCUUCAACUGUUAAACAUGCAGAAUAUUGAUCAAGUUCAAACAAUGUUCGAACUUGAUUGUUGUUACCACCUUGGUCAUCAUAUCUGCGGGAUUAUCUGCAGUCUUAAUCUUCUGAAGGUGAAUUUUCCCCUCAUCAAUAAUUUCCCGCACAAAGUGGAAACGUACAUCGAUAUGCUUUGUACGUGCAUGAUAGACUUGAUUCUUUGCUAAAUGAAUAGCACUUUGACUAUCACAAUACACAUUAAUAUGCUCCUGGACCAAUCCCAAGGUUUUAACCAUACCUUGUAACCAAAUAGCUUCCUUUACAGCCUCUGUUACAGCCAUGUAUUCAGCUUCUGUGGUUGACAACGCAACUGUAGACUGCAGUGUAGACUUCCAACUUAUUGGUCCUCCAGCAAGAGUAAACACAUAACCAGUGGUUGAUCUUCGUUCGUCCAAAUCACCGGCAUAAUCAGAAUCAACGUACCCAACAACACCUUUACCAAGUGUAGUAUCCUGCUUGAACAGUAAUCCAAUAUCCAUGGUCUUAUGAAUAAACCGUAGAAUCCAUUUCACAGCUUGCCAAUGUCCUUUUCCAGGAUUAUGCAUAUACCUGCUCACUAUACUAACUGCCUGUGAAAUGUCGGGUCUUGUACACACCAUUGCAUACAUCAAGCUACCUACUGUAUUAGAAUACGGAACUUGUAACAUGUAUUCUUGUUCUGUAUUUGUCGAAGGAGAUAGUUAUGCAGAAAGCUUGAAAUGAGAAGCCAACGGGGUACUUACAGCUUUAGUCUGCUCUUUCAUGCCAAACUUCUGUAGUAUCUUCUUUAAAUAUUGCUUCUGAGAUAAACUAACUCUGCCAUGAGCUCUAUCCCUACAUAUUUCCAUGCCAAGGAUCUUCUUAGCUUCACCUAGAUCUUUCAUCUCAAACUCAAGGUUGAGUUGAGUCUUCAAUCUCUCAAUUUCAACUUUACUCUUAGAUGCUAUCAACAUAUAAGAGCAAGUAUACGAAAAAUCCUUCUUGUAGCUUCUGAAAAUACACGCAAUGAUAAAAUUUACUUCUUGUAUACCUUUGCCCUUUCAUGAACUGAUCAAAUCGCUUGUACCACUGCCUUGGAGAUUGUUUCAAUCCAUAAAGUGACUUUGUCAGUUUGCAAACCCAAUUUUCUUUAUCAGCAACCUUGAAUCCAUCUGGCUGAGGCAUAUAGAUUUCCUCUUCCAAAUCACCGUGUAAAAAUGCGGUCUUCACAUCGAGCUGAACUAGUUCAAGAUCAUAUUGCGCAACCAAGGCUAGCAAAAUCCGAAUAGACGAAUGCUUCACAACUGGAGAAAAUACUUCAUUGUAGUCUAUUCCUUCUUUCUGAGCGUAACCCUUUGCUACCAAUCUAGCCUUGUAUCGAACUUCAUUUUUAUCAGGAAAUCCUUCCUUCUUUGCAUAUACCCAUUUGCAUCCAAUUGCCUUCUUUCCUUCAAAUUUCUCAUCCAAAUUUAGCAAGUCUGCUAAAAUUUUAUUGAAUGAGUUCACAUGGUCAUUCAUCGACAUACCGGGUGCAUACGUGAAUCGAUAAAGUUUCUUUUUCAUAUAAAGCCUAUUUUCAAGACUUUUUGUUAGAAACUUUUCUUCCAGUGUAUCCCACAACUUCUUCGCUGAUGUCUCCCUCAUGACAGAGUACUUCUGCUCUUUGGCCAAACAUAGGCGAAUUGUUCCACAUGCCUGUCUAUUGAUCUUGGCCCACUCCUUGUCAUCCAUCUUGUCAGGUUUUUCUUCAAGGGCUAUAUCCAGCUCUUGCUGACAUAAGACAUCCAGGAUCUCACAUUGCCACAUACCAAAAUUAUUGGUACCAUCAAAUUUCUCUACUUCAAAUUUCGCAUUGGUCACAGUAGUCUUUGACGAUGACUUUUCCAUUUUUUUCUCCUCAAUCCCAACUACAGUACGUGAACAGUGCCGUGAAUGAUCGUAUUCCCCAAGUACGAAUCUAGCUCUGAUACCAAUUGUUGUGCGGAAGCGUGUAAAAGAGUAAAAUUAUUGUACUAAAAAAUCACACUAAGUUCAAUUCCCAGGAAAGAGAGAUGGAUCAGAAGGAUCGCUUAAGUACCAGGUCUUUCCUAGCCAGAAUAUCCUUCAAUCGUAAUUUAAUAGCACAAUAAAUCACUACAAUCACACACACAAUUCAUGCAGAAUAAUACAAUAAAGAACACAAGAAUUUAACGAGGUUCAGCAAAUUUUGCCUACGUCCUCGGGCACUACCAAAUAUAUUUCACUCCAAAAUACAAGUGAGAAUUUACAAAGAGAGAGAGAGAAAACAAUGCCUUAAGUAGAGAAUGGCAAGUUUUAGAUACAGAAUGAGAGAUGGUUAUGCCUAUUUAUAGUUGAGGUUUAGGGAUCAACUUGCAAAGUCACUUUACAAUUUAGGGACCAUAUAUUGCAAAUAUCUCAGAUUUUAUUAUACCAAUAUCUCGAUACCCAUAUCUUUGACUUUCCAAUAUUUGAUACCCAUAUCUUUGACUUUCCAAUAUUUGAUACCCAUAUCUUUGAUUUUCCAUAAAUAUGGAUAAUUCCCAAUAAAUAGAGUUUCAACGUUAUGUCAUAAACAGAGUAACACAACACAAACAAGUGAUGAGGAGGUUCCAUUCAACAAACUCCAAAUCCGCAAGGAAACCAUCCUAUCUGCAACGGGACCAUAAUUUCUUGAUGUAGGACUACGAUGAAUGAUUGGAUAUAAGCACAAGACCUAAACUUAGUAACACCACACAAAAUAUGAAAAAGCUGAAAUUAACAAUGGCACAAAUGAGGCUUGGUGAUAUGAUUGUUGAGCAGAACAAGUAGGUAAUCGAGAAGAGAAUUAAAGGUAGAGUCAAUAGCUGACCAUAAAACCCGUUUGGGAGUAAAAGAUAAAUGGUUAUGAUUGUCACCCAAAAUGAAAUACUAUUAAGAAUCAAGAAAGUUAUGUAUAACCAUUCUUUCAUCACCACUUUUCCCACCCUGCUGAACGGAAGUGAAUCACUGUCGCUACUGUCAGCCUGUCGAAGCCCUCCCGGUGGGCUGAGAACCGCUUGGAAAGUGGCUGUUGCAACCAGUGCAGCCACCACUAGUAAAGCAUCACGUGUUUCGGUCGAGAUAUUUGUUUUCUGGCCUUUUAGGAACCGUAUGACAUUAUCAAGAAGUGUAGGCUUUGGUUCAAAACUUACUUGCUUCAUGGAAGGAAUAGCAUUAAUGUCGUUGGUCUUCAUUACAUGACUAUGUUCAGCUCCUGCUUGGAUUAAAACAUCUUUCAUGUCUGGAUUAUUGUUAGCACGAUCAACAAUGUCCAGAACUGUUAAACCUUCUAGGCUUUUUGCAUUCACGUUGAUUUUAAACUUUAGUAACGAUUUCACAACCUGCAUGGUAGGAUUUUGCAAUGAUCAUCUUAUUACUAUUGAAGAAAGGAUUAUCAUGGUUAAAUUAUCCUAAUAGUUCAUGUUCUAUGUGGUUCUAGUGGAUUUGGUCCUGCAUUCCAACUUUAUCAAUUUUAAUUUCAUCGGACAUUUUGAUUAUUAAAAUUUUAAACUUGACUCAAAAGAAAAUAGUUGGAUAGUUCAGAAAAAUGACUUAAAAUUUGUUGAUUUUUGUUCUUAGACAAUAGUAAAAAAAAUUAAAAAUUUGAGUUUGGCUUCAAUUUUUAAUUUGGUACUUGAGCUUCUUUUUUUUUUCAAUUAAGUACAAUUUUUUUUAUUAAAUAUCACAUGUCAAACAUUUGUUAGGUUACAUGAUGCCAUUUGAUUUAAUAAAAAAUUAAAAUUAAACUUAAGUACUAAAUUGAAACAAAAAAAUUUAAUUAUCAAAUUUAACAUUAAAACUAAAUUUAAAUACCAAAUAAUAUAUUGACUGGAAAAAUUCAAAAUCAAAUCGUUAACCCGACAGGCAUGGCAAAUUUUCUUGCCCCAUCGGCACAAAAUUUUUAUUUUAAAAAAUGAAAACUUAAUUAAACCUAAAAUUAAAACCCAAAAUCAUCAUCACAAACCGAAAACAACCCGGUCUAAACCAAAACUAGAAUUGAUCAAAUGUAGUAAAUUUACUAAAGCUACAAAGAAGAAUGUAAAGUAUAGGGACUUCCUAUAAAUUUGGCCGGUUAUAUAAUCUAAUUGUAAUGCAAUGCAAUACAAUCUUGUCAUGCAUAGCUGAAAUGAGUUCAUCAAAAAUCACCUGGAUAUCGUUCAUCUUCACUGCUACAUGCAGUACAGUGAAACCAUUUUCAUCCUUCCAGUUAACUACUUUCUCUUCCCAAUAUAGUGCCUCCCUAUACCAUGACCUUCGAAGAAACGACAACAAAGCCUCUAAAGCUCUGGUAUUUCCCUUCUCCACAGCGAUAUGCAGAGCCGUUUCGCCUUUAUUCGUGGUAUCCAUGAUGGAAUGAGGGCUUACCGCUAGAAACUCACGCAAGAGUUUAACUUCGUCGUUUUGAGCUACGUAGUGCAGUGGAGUGAAACCCUCUCUUCCUUUGACACCAACAAGGGUUGGCUCCGUCUCUAUGAGCCGAUACACCAUCGCGGUCUGGUUAUGUUGCAACGCCACGUGCAUGGGACUCCACCCUUGUUCAUCUAGCUUCUUGGAAAGAGAUGGUUUAAGCCUCAUUAUCUCUAAAGCAAAAUUGAUAUGCCCUCGACUUGCAGCUAUAUGUAAUGGAGUUUCAGCGAAAGGUGUUUUAUCAUAAUGCUCCAAAACAUUAGAAUCUUUAGCUAUCGCUUGAUAUAACUUGUUAACAUCUCCAUUUUGAGCAGCAUUCUUCAAUAGAAUAAGAGGAUUCAUUUUGAAAUAAAAAUAGCUAGAUUAACACAAGAUCACACAUGAUGAUUUAGUAUCCUUUAUAUAUAAUAAAAACCAAUGAGAGAAAAGGUUGAAGAAAUCUCCCAAUAGAUAAACAAAUUUAAGUGAAAUUGAAAGAUGGAAAGUGGCUCUCGAAAUAAAGACGAAGUUAGGGGUUGGAGUUUUGUGAUUUUACCUAAUUAUUUUUAUAAUUUAUUAAAUAAUAUAUUUUUAUUUAAUGUAAACAAAAACUUCAAAUCUUGAUGGAGAUUUGAAUGUGUAAAUGAUAAUGAAAUUUGAAUUUUUAUGUGAAUUUUUAACUACUAAUUAACAAUACAUACAUUUUAUAGUGGUAAGUCUUACUGUUGUAUUAAUAAAAAAGUGUAAUUCAAAAUUUCAAAAAUUUAAUAAUAAAAAUAAGAUUUGCUUUUAUAUAAUAUAUUAUAGAUUAAUAUUUAAUACAUUCACUUGCUUCUGAUUUUGGACUUCUACUUAAUAUAUGUGAAAACAAAGUCAACAAUCCAACCAAAGCUUAGACUUUCAUAUAUAUAUAUCAUUUUCUUAAAAAAAAUUAAAAAUGAAUACCUAACCAUCGAUUAAAACAAUUUUACUACUAUUUUAUUAGAACUAGCAAGGAUUUUAUACAUUCCUCUCAACCCUUUAUUUUCUAGAAAUAAAUAAAUAAAUAAAUAAAUUUCAUCUUAGCUAUAGAUCAAGUGGUACAUAUGAUCUAUAUGCUAAAAGUUGGGGUUUAUAUGCUAUCAAGUGAGUGACGUGCAUGUUCCAUGGUAAUUGAUCGUGUAUAAUUUACAACUUAAUUUUAUGAAGUGUUCUCAUUCUAUUAAUUCUAUUUUAAGUUUGAACUUGAUAUAGUUGAGAGAUAAAAUUUAAGAACAAUAUUCAUUAAUUACUCAACAGAUGACAGCUUAAAAAAUUUAUUGAGAAAGAAUUAAUUUCUCUCAACAAGCUUUAAUUAUUAUUUUUUACAUAAUCUAGUUAUUUAUUUGGCCCUACUUAAUUCAUACAUUUUAACUACUCUUAAUUAAAUAUUACAAUUAUUUUUAUAAUAAUAUUACAUAUUACAUAUUUUAUAUUUUAAUUAUUAAAUUAUAAUUCAAAUCAAAUCACAUGACCUUGUACAAGGACUUUUAGUUUCUUUAAAAAAGAAAUUAGGAUUUAGGUAGAUAGUUUGUUUAUAAUAACCUUUCUUUUUUCCACGCAUGAAACUUAAGCAAAAGCAAACUAUUAACCCUUUUGGGAAAACAUCUUCAUAAAAGCCUCUAAUUCUAGCUCUUUUACAAAUUAGUUCUUAAACUUUAAUUAUCUAAAUUAUCCACGUCUAAAACCAUUAAUAAAAGUAAAACUAAAACUAAAAAUAAGUUUUUAAAACAUUUAAUGAUUUGUUAAAAAAUAUCCGUAAAGAUUUGAGAUUAAAAAAUAUCUUAGAAAAGCUUUAAGAAGAUACUAAAAUUUUCAAAUAAUCAGUCAUCAAACUUCCCACAUUCGCAAUCAGAAAUAGACGGCAUCUCAAAUCCAUUAAGAAGUAAGGAAAAGCAGCAUCUGAGUCUUGCACAGUUCAGAAAAUCAUGGUUCAAAGUUCCUAAUUGGCAUGUAGACUACACUCUCUAUCAAUACUAACUUGGUUUAGACCUAGAACCAAUUAAAUUUGUAGCUCUAAUAUCAAAUUGUAACACUCCAAAAUCCGGCUCAAAAGUCUAUUUGGAUCUGGAGCGUCACCGUAGUUGCUACAACAAUCCAUUCUCUCAAUUAUUCAUUUAAUCACAUUAAAAAAUAAAAAUUAAACAUAUACCUAGUAAAUCAUUUAACAAAUCUCUACCAAAUAAUUAAUAAAUUCUAAAAUAAAAUUGAAGAAACUAAAUUGACUAAAUAACAAAUACUAAAUAUAUACCAAACGGUACUAUUUCAAGAGGUACUUACGAAAUAAGGAUUAUAGAGAUUCUUUGACGAUGCUAUUCGAUCAUAAAUUCACAAAUUAUCCAUUACCCACAUAGAAAUUAAAAACUCAAACACUUAACUUCACAACUCAACGGUGAUCUAACAAUUUCCAACAAACAAUAUGCAAAUAGUUAAAUUAAAAAUAUGCUAUUAAGUACUACGUAAAUGCUCAAUAUCAAAACACAAAAAGAAUAUACACUAUUUCGCUUAACUUAAUUUAAACCAUACUAUGUUCAUUCUAUUGACCGCCUAUAUCACAACCAAUAUAUAAUCGAUUAACAAUCUGAUACAUCAAUUUAACAACAAAUAAAAACCUUUAUCCACUUACAUCAAUUGCAAUAUUAAUAUUUUCAGUUGACUUUAAUCUCUCACUUUACAAAUUCAUGAGUAACUAGUGUCAUUAGUUUUUUGAGGCCCAAUGGGGAAAAAUCAUUCAAGUCAUCACAUCAAAGCGCAAAGCACUACGGCAUGAUACUCUAGUGUGAGCAUAUCAUGAUUUAACCAACCAUCAUAUUAAAUGUGCAAAGUAUUACGAUACAACAUAAUAUAAUAUUUCAGUACAUGAAUAAUAUGACUUAAUCAAUCAACACACUAAAUGUGCAAAGCGUAACAAUACAAUAUUCUUGAAUGUUCUCAAGCAAACCCCGCAACAACAAAUAUUUAAAGUGCUCUAUGCGAAUUAUACAUUGAUACUAAUCCGAUUAUCGGGUUGUUGUUAUACGAUUUCAUUAGCAAACAAAAAUUACUUAUUUAAUAAAAUAUAACCAUACUUACGAACAAACAAGGACCAUAAAUUCAUCAAUUAAUCACGCCAAAAACAUCAUUAUCAAUCGAUAAUAAAUAAAAAAAAUAAAUAGCAAUAAUAUUGUCAAAUUGAACAAAUAGAACUACAAACAAGGACUUGAUCACAUCAACAAUAAACUAUUAAAGACUAAAAUGACAAUUAACCUAUAAAGUAAAAUCAAAUUGAGUGCCCCAAUCCUCCUUUGAAACCCAAUUUUAUUAAUAACAUCUCCAUAAUUCAAAGGUAAACAUUAUACUGGAAAUUAUCAUCAUUCGUAAGUUUAUCCAAACAAUAUUAGUGGUAGGAGAUAGGGAUAAGCAAUUGACUUUUGAAUUAAAUUUUAAAUGAUAGAGUAAUCUAAUUCUAAUCUAAAUAAUUACACUAUUUUUAGCUUAAUCUAAUAAAAAUUUAAUGUAUUUAUUAAUUACAACUAAAAAUAGCUUAAUGGAUGUAAGUGAACACAAAACAAAAACGAAUUUAAGUGUUUGAAUACAUGUAGAGGCAGUAGUUACAUAAACUUGUAUGUUUCACAAGAGACAUGUCCAAAUGUUUUAGUGAAAUACACUUAAACUCAACCAUUUUAGAAGCUCAAACAUAACUUAUAACUCGACCACUAAUCAAUCAAUCCAAACACAUGAAUUAACUAAGUCAUAUAGCAAGAUGCAGUAGCAAUAAUAAAAACAAAACUAAUAUUUUUCAUAGCACAAUUACUAAUCAAAUAUUAAUAAUCGCAUACUGAUUUAUUUUAUUCUCAAGCAAUUAAUUUAACCAAAAUCAUAUCGCAUAUUAGAAAAUAUAAUAACACAAACCGAAUUACAAUAUUCUCUAUGUUUGUGGAGUCUCGUUCAGUAAGAUGAAUCUACUAUCUUUGAAAUCAAUAUAACCAGUGAUCCUAAUUCUAACAUACCCCGAUAAAGAAUCUUCACUUUUGUAUUUCAAAUGCUUGACUUCUCACUAUUAAAUUCUUCCAUGUGAGAACUAAGGUUGUAACCAAUCACAAAUAUGCUUUUAUUGUCAAAAUGCACCCUCAUAAAUAAUGCUCCUUAUUGAAAAAUAGUACUCUUUUUUUUUUUUUUAAAGUUCAUCAAUCUAUACAAGUCUAUCAAAUAUAUAAAGAUUUUCGAGACUUAUUAACAUGUUAAAUAUUAGUCACAAUCCCUUCUCAAUAGUGGUUAAAAUAGCCAAAUAAAAUAUAAUAUUAACAAUCAAAGUGAAAUGUUGGUAAAUAAGUGUAACAUCCGCUUUAUGCCUUGGAGCUGAUUACAACGUCAUGUCAGGUUAAAAAUAUUAGAGAAUUUUUAGAAAUAAAUAAAAUAGGAAAUUUUGAGUGUUAAUAUAGAACUUGUAACAUCCCACAAAUCGGAUUAGUAGUCAAGUGUUUGAGUCGGAUACCAAAAUAAGAAUCGUAGCUAAUAAUUAAAUAAAAUAUUAAAAUAAUAAUCAGAUUAAAAAUUUAAGUGUGAAAAUUGAAAUUAGGACCUUGAUAAUUAAUUAAAUUAAAACAGAUAUUAAAAAUGAAACCGAAUUUGAAAAUAAUUAAGAAAAUAAACUCUAAUUUAAAAUAAAGACCUAUUUGAAAAAAAGAAAGGAACUAAAAGAAGCAAAAACAGCAAUAACUGCCUAUUUAAACACUCAACCGUCCCCUUCCCUCUCAUUCGAUUUUUCAUUCAAAAUUUUUCUACAAACCUCAAAACUAAUACUUGUAUCGUAUUCAUUUUUUUUUAAAAUUUAAUGGUAAAAUUAAUUUUAAUAUCAGCCAAAUAUAAUUAAUAUAUUUUAAAAUUUAGAAACUAAGUCAUGGUGUUUGGAGCUCAUUAUUUAAAAGAGAAAGCAUAAAAUCAAAAGAACACUUUAUUUAGGGAAGUAGUCUUACAACGCAAACUAUUAAUGCAACACAAACAAUUAGAUAAAUUUAGGUAAGGCUCUUCACUAACCAGUGUGGGAUAUUAAAAGAGCCCUAAACAUUCUUAGAAAACCUAGCAAACACGUCGACUCUAGAUUUGAUAAUCAUAUCAUAAUACCAAACAAACCUCCCCAACACCAUCUUUUUUCCCUUUCUUUACUUCACUCAACACAGCAGCGAUACAAGAAAUACAUCUCCAUCGCACGACCACACUCAGCACAUUGCACCCUCUCCGGAAUUCUACCACCGUUACCCGGAAGGAGAAGGCGAGUGCAAUGAUGGUCCUCCAUAAUCCCUUCCAAAUGCUUACGAAGUGCUGGGAUAAAACCCAUGUGCUUGGAAAGUUUUCCCCAUUGAUCAAAGCUCUUCAUGCAGCUAAGCACUUUCUCUCCAUUGGCGCUCACCAUUUCACCCGAUCCGGUGAAGAACACAGCCCAUUCAUUUUUACUAUCGUCAUAUCCAAGCAUAGUUGCCACUUCUUGCAUUAUACCAUCGGUUGCAUUGGUCUUUCUUUGGUGGACUUUUGAGUUCAACAUGUUCUCUAAUAGGUUCCAAAAGCACCACACAUUGUCAUAUUGCCAAGCAUGGCUAAGUUGCUUCUCUAUGAUUAAACCAGUAACCUUUUUCGCUCGUUCCCUUGCAUUUUGCUUCCCAACAUAAACCAUUUCUAAGCCAAUAUCGAGAGCCUUUGCAACCCCUUUUGCUGCGGUAGUGAAACUUUCGAUCCAUUCCAUUUUCACACCACCAUAGAAACAAACCACCUUCUCUUGGCUCACCUGAUUAUAACAACACAAAACCAAAAAUAAAUUAAGCAUAUUAAUUGAUAUACACGUACAAAUUAAAGUUAAAAGGGGAUGUUCAUGUACCCAAGAAGAUAAGUUCGGUUCAAGGCGACCAACGAGAAGCUCAAAUGUCCAAGCUCUAGCUUGCCAAAUACUUUCUUCUUUUUCGCUGCUAAAUGGGAAAGCUGAAUUUCCCCACAUCCACAUCAUGUUGAGUGCAUUUGGGCAUAAAACCUUUCCUUGUGGAUUCAAUGUCACCGCAAUUGGUUUCUUAACGAAACCCCAUACUUCCCUUAUGUAUUUAAUAACUGCUGGUUUAAUGGAAAAUUGGUGGCUGACAGUAUACCAUGACAUAAUUGAUUGCAGGCUCGAAAUUUUCUGACAACCAUCAUUCCAAGCUGUUUUGUCCACAAUUGGGAGCCAUAUGAUCUCAUAGUUACGCCCAGAUGAAACCCUUUCUUUGUAAACAACUUCAAGAACCCGAAUCUCCUCUUGGGAGAUAUCAAGAUCCGAAAUAAGCAAUAAAACAUGCUUUCUUCUCAAGACAUUGAUAGAAACCUGUUAAAUUAUACCAGCAAAGUUAAUAUACGAUCCAAUGAAUUUUAAAACAUGGUUGAAACUUGGAACAUGGAAUUAAACAGACCUUGGUCUUGUCUGGAUUAAAGAGGUUCUCUUCCUUGCCGAAGAUGUUUUGGAGAAUCUUCAAGUUGUCCACUUGAGGUGUUUCAAUGGUGCGCUUGAAGUCUUCAAAAGCUUCCAUUAGCAUCUUCUCAUCUGCAUCUCAUUACAAUCAUACUUAAAUUUCUAUAGAAAUGUAUAUAUAUAGUGUUUUUAUUUCUAGAGUUUUUGUCAAGUAUGGACUCACUCAUAUGCUCAUUACAAAGACGUAAUUGAAAUUGAAGGUAUUCAUGUAUGCUGCGAAAUUUAUGUGCCAAGCUUGAUAGGUCCAAUGCGUCCAAAGUCCGUGUAAUGAACCUAAGAUAAUUCAAACAAAAGACUUAAUUGUUGGUAAAUUUAAUGUCAUCAUAUUGUCUAAUUGAGCACAUAGGAAAUUCAUGACUCACUCAUGUCUAAUCCCUACGAGUCCUGUAAUCUGCCUAGCACAAGCGACAACACUCCAAAUGAUCCGGUAGGUAGCGAAGUAGAUAUGAGCCAUGGUGGUCGACAAUGGUGGCUCAUCGAUGGGAAUAUACUUAGAAGGUAGCUCAGUAAGCUCAACAAUGCACUCGGUUACAUCGAUCAUUGCAUUGAUGAGCUUGCUGAGUGCAUCAAAGUAGGGUUUCAAUGUUGGGGAGUUCUCUAAAAUGUCGGGUCGCUUGAGGAGAGCCAUUGAUUUGGCCAAUGAGUUGGAAGUGCAAAGCUGAGAGAUCAGCCAAAACUCUCCGAAUUUCACUGCAAAAGCUGCUAAUGUUAGCACCACUUUUGCACCCCAUGAAUAGCUUGAAAGCGUGUUGAAGAUCGCCAUUGUCGUUGCAUGAGCAUCCUCUCCUCCUGAACACCUGCUUGAUAGCUACAAAACAUCGACUUAUGUUACUAUCGUUAUUUUUCGGUUUCGAAAACGAUCGAGAUUCGGAAAGCAAAAUAAAACAGCCGAAUAACCUCGCUGCAGAUUUUGUUUACUGCAUCAUGCGCGCCAUCAACGGCAGACAAGAUGGUCUGAUCGUCAAAUGCAUCGAUGUGCUCCGAUCCACCCUACAAGACAAAACAAACCCAAAGCAUUGUCUUGAAAAUCUUUCCAUUUUCUGGAAUAUAAAUAUCAUGAAAUCUUAAGGUUAUCAAAGUUUACAUUCAUGGUAUGAAGCAAAACUUUGCCAGUGAUUUGAAGAAUUGGUUUAACAUCAACAACAUGACCAUCGGAGACAUGACUCGACCGAAUUUGCUCAAUCUUGUCAUCGUCGAGCAUCCAAUGCUCAUCCCUCAUCGGUUGCUGGUAUGUUUCUGAUGAGGGUGAGACUGGGGUAGGGCGAGCCAUUGUCGAAUAUAUGAAAGUACUACUACUUUUUGAUGUUUGAUGUGUGAUGUGUUUACUAAGGAUUGUAGGGUUUAUAUAGUGAUGAGAACAUGCAAUGGGGAGAGUGCUGUUUGUCAUGUUUUGUUACCUGUCUUUGUCGUGUUUCGACUGAUUGAGAUAAAAAAAAGGAAAAUGGGCUAAUAUAAACACCAAAUAUUCUUUAAUUUAAUUUAAUUUAAUUCUUGCAUGAGUCAGUUCAAACAUCUCGAAAUUAAAGUUGUUCCCUUAUUGUCGAUUAAAGAAAAUUUCAUUGAAUUUCAAAACACGUUAGGGACCCAAGGCCAAAAUCAAUUAUACUUUGUACCCCUCUUCAUUGUUUACCGGGGAAACACGUUGACAAGAUUUGGGGGAAAAAACGAAGGAACGUGAUAAAACGUGGAUUCCGCUGACAUAGGUAUCAAAUAUUUUAAUAUUAUAAGUUUGUAGGAUAGUAAUUUUUCAACAAUAUGUUUUUAGGGAUACUUUCGGUGUUGAGUUGGUAUUAACCCCUUCAAGUUUUCAAUGUGACCUUAAAAUUAGUAUCUAUAUUAUGAUAUAAUUAUUGAAUCUAUAUUUAUGGGUGUCGAGUUCAUGGUGGAUAAUAUGUAACCAUGAACUUGACAUUUUCUAGUGUCAGGUUGUGAAUAAUUUUUUUUAAAAAAGGGAUAAUGUAAUUUUAUUAAAAUUUAACGAAAAGAUCAAUUGAAGUCGACACUAGUGAAUGUUGAGUUUCACUUAAAAUUCUUAACAGGACCUCGUAAUUUUAAAAUAUGUAAACAAGCUCCAGUUGAGUUUUAGCUUGAUUGGCAUGGGCAUUAUUGCCAAUGCAGGAGGACGUGGGUUUGAGUGCGUUGAAACACAUUAACCUCCUAUUUAUGGGUUGUGGAGGGGUUAUGGGCAAUUCUAAGCAUUGUGUUAAGUAAUGUAGAUAUGAUCAGAAUAUAUAAUUAGAUUGUUAAAAAAAUGUAAACAGGCAAUUAAACUAGUUAGUUUUUCACAAACAUCAAAAUAAAUAGUCUUUUACAUUUUAUCCUAAGCCCCAAAUAGCCAAGUAUUUGGAAAUGACACUAGUGAAGAAGGGUUUUGAGCUUCUCUUGGAGAAACCAAUGCCUACUAAUCAAAUGUGUGCAUAUGGAAAAAAAAAGUUUGCCAACUUAGUUCAUACCAUGUACCUCUUGUUGUUAUAAAAUUUCCGGACGGCUAUUACAUAUGGUUGAGCUUUGCCAUUUUGGCUUGCCUAUACAAGGUAUUGUGCACAAGGUGUAGAGUAGGGAAUAAGGAAGUGAAUGGUUGUCUUGUGAUUUUACAGCUGUGAGGGUAGUAUUGACUUUUGCUCAUUGUGUCUAUACCUUUUAAACCUCUUAGUUACCCUCUAGCUAGAUGGUAAAAAUAGAACCUAAUUCUUAAAAUCUAUUACUUUCUAAAUGUUUGAUAUUUGUAGAAGCAUUUUGUAAUUUAAUUGGUGGUUUGAGCAAUGUGACCAUAUGACAUACUAAAAGGAUAGUUAGGCAUUGAUAUUAGAAACAAUUGAUAGGGAAUCCAGUGUUUCGAUUAAUUGUGUUCUACUAGGCUGAGUUCAAUUACAUUAAGUAAUAUCAUUUGAUAAUGGAAUUUAAAUUCAAUAUUUACUUUACAAUUUUUUGUGGAUGUCGUACCAAGCAAAAGAGCUUGCAACCAUACUACUACUAGAGGCACAUGUGCAGAGCUGUGUUUUUACCAUUUGCACACCCAUUACAUGCAGUUCAUGCGUCGAGUGACAUUAGUCAAAUAAAAUAUUACAACAAUUCAAGAUGAUCUUAACAAAUCCAGAGAACAUGGAUGACUAUGAACCGACUGAUUUGUGUUUGGGGUGGGAACAUAAUUGAGUCAUUAAAUUUGUACAACACGUGACAUAUUGAAGAAAUCGUCUCCAACAUAGGCCACAAGUUUCAUUGAUCAAGGAUGACAAUUUUUGCAUCUUUUUAAGACAUACAUAGAAUGGUGUAGGGACAAUGGUAAACCAUACACGUCUUUUUCAAGAGAGACUCCAUUUUCUUGGAUUGAUCAUCUAGUUUCAAAAUAUUAGAUGAGGAACAUGAAAGUGUGGGACCAACCUAUUAUCAGAAGCCAAGUUCAAGGAGGGAGGAAUCUAUGAACGGAUUAUGAGAUAGGAUAACAUGUCAAGGGAAACAUUGGGACAGGGCCAAAUGACUAUAGUCGAGGUAGAAACCAAAGGAAAGGGCAAGGUAGAGGUGAUCCUGUUAAAGAUUCCUUGGCUAUCAUACCUGUUGAUCCUAACAACGAGCUUGACUUUGCAGAUGUAGUUUGUUGAUCCUGGAUUUGCCUAGAUCAUGGAUGAAAAAUCCAAUGCACUAAGCAGACUAGGGAUGGUAAUUUAUUUUUAUUCUAUUGUAUUACUCUGUUUCUGAUAAUGGUAGCAAAAGUUGACAUAAGAUAAUAUGUCAACCAAUGUAAUUGUUUAAUACAAAUAAAAUUAUUCAUUUAGGGUAAUAUAUGUUAUAAACCAUUUCCCUAGCUUCCAAAAAAAAAUCCAAUCUAAGUGACUAAUAUGACCAUCCAUGUAUGGUUCAUGCAUCAUCCAUGCCACCAUGGUUAAAAAAGAUGUAGUGUAAGUGUGUGUUAACAUUAUCCUUUUUUUCCUAACCCCUAAUAUUUGAUUGCUUAGUGACAUUUUUUGGACCCUACAGCCAUAUAGACCCACUAAAUGCAAUAAAUUGAGAUUGCAUGUGUUAGAGUGAUAAGUCAGGUGGUUAGUUUGUUAGGGUUUGUUAACGAGUUGUUAAGUAGGAGUUAGACCUUAAUUUCUCCUAUAUAUAGAGAUGUGUAUACUGUACUGAAGUAAGCUAAAUUCUACAGAUUGUUAUCUCUAUUAUUCUUUCUAUUUUUUCCUUAGAAUCUCUUCAUUCUUUUGAUAUUCUAGCAUGGUAUCAGAGCCUCGGUGAUUCUCGAGCAUGACUGUCACGCAUUCUGCUGACUCUGACUCUGUUGAGCAUGGAAGCUCUGUUUUCACUGGUGACCAGGUUGUUGCUUCGUUUCCUAGACAUGAGGUUGUUAAGCUUGAUGAAGGAUCGUUCGUUCAGUGGCAACAGUAGGUUUGUUUUAUCCUUGCUAGUUACGAUUUGCUUGGCUUUCUUGAUGAUUCUUUGCCUGUUCCGACGAGGUUCGUUCAAGCUCCUGAUGGGUCUCUUAUUUCAAAUCCAGCUGCCUUGGUCUUCACUCAACAAGACAAUCUUCUCACUUCAUGGCUGCUUUCUACCAUCCAUCAUUCUUUUUUGUCCUCCUUCACGGAAGUCCGGACUGCGAGUGAUGUGUGGAUCUUGGCUACUAGCUUGCUUGCGGUUGACAUGAGCACAAAGCAGUCUCAACUCCGGUAUGAGCUUCAUCGCUCAAGAAAGGUAGCUUAUCUAUUCGAUCUUACGUUGACAAGAUUAAAAGUUUGUGUGCUCUUCUUGCAGUGUCUGGUUCUCCAAUUUUGGAGGCUAAAUGAUCGGCAAUUUUACUUACAAGUCUUUCUUCCAAUUUUGAGGGAGUCCUAUCGUCGGCCUCGCUUUCUUCGACUCUGUUGCCAUUUCAAUGGCUUGUUGAUGGCUUGCUUGAGUGUGAGACUCGGCAGAGUCAAUCAGUUCAAGAGGUGGUGGCUACCGCGCACUAUGUUGAAAGAUCAUCGCCUCUCGUGGAAGAUGGCUCUUCUCGUGGUGGACGUUUGUCGAUCCGUGGCCGUGGUUGUGGUUUUCGUCCUCGGCUUCAGUGCCAAAUUUUUAGUCAGUAUGGGCAUCUCGCUCAACGUUGCUAUUACCGGUAUCAUCGAGAGGAAUAGUCGCCGAUGGUGCAACAAGGUGGGAUGGUCUCUGGUAUGUUUCAUGGCUAUGGUCAAAGUUAUACUGUUGGUCAAAAUUAUAAUGCUGGUCAAAAUUGUAAUGUUUGUCAAAAUUAUUCUCUGCCUUCUUUUGAUAAACCGACUUUGGGGAUGGAUACUAUGGCUUCACGUGGGCCGCAUGCUAUUCAUGUGCCAUUUGGGCUGAAUAAUACUAGGCUGAAUGUUGGUAUGCCUUAUGCAUAUGGUGGUGGCCAGUUUGGGUCUCCUUCUAUGAGCCCCAAUGUUGGUGAUGGUGACAAGGGCAUGAAUGCUCAUGUGCGUGGGCCAACUAGUGCAGGUCCUAAUUUGGGCCAAAUAGUUUUGCCAAGCCUCGUUUGGAUGAUGACCAUUACUCCUUCAGGCCCAAUGUUAAUUUUGUUCAUCUUGAUCCGUCUGUGUCACCCACCGCGCCUGAGGUUUCGUGGCAGAAAAAAUCGCGUGCUCGUGUGUUCGAUGGUGACUCGUCUCAGUAAGAUUCGUCUCAAUUUGUUGGCAUACCCCAUCGGGUUUCUGAUUCUCGUACCUCUGACUAUUCUGAUGCCACUGUCUAUGGUUCGAAUUUUAAUAACAUUGACUCAUAUGUGCCAUUACCGGUUAGGAGUACAUCGUGGUGUCCAAAUUUUGGAGCUACUCACCAUGUACGUCAAAAUGCCUCCAAUCUUCAUACCUCCAAUUCGUAUUCAAGUAAUUCGUCUCUUCUAAUGGAUAAUGGAGCUUCUACUAAGAUUUCAUUUAUUGGGAAUACUACUAUACCUACACAAAAGAAAAUGCUUCAUUUGUCGAAUGUUUUAUGUGUCCCAAGCAUCCGAAAAAAUUUACUGUCUGUGUCUAAGUUGUGACUGAGAAUAAUGUUUUUUUUGAGUUUUAUCCGUCUUAUUGUGUGAUUAAGGACAUCCAGACACAGGAAAUCUUGUUGCAGAGCCAAGUUCGUGAUGGGCUCUAUCAUUUUUCCACAGAGUCGGUUGCUCUCCAUCUGUCUGCUUACAACGCUGCAGUUCAGGAUUGCUCCACGAGUGAUGGUGUUUUUGAUUUGUGGCAUAAAAGACUUGGUCAUCCUUCUUCUACUAUUGUAAAGACUGUUCUUGAUUAGUGUCAGAAUUCUUUCAAUAAAAAAUGUCUUGAUCGUGUCUGUGUAGCGUGUCAGAAAGGUAAAUUUCAUAAGUUGCGCUUUUCACAAUCUCGUACUGAAUAUACUGAAUUGUUUGAAUUAGUUGUUUCUAAUUUAUGGGGACCCGCAUCUGUUUUGUGUGAAGGUAACUUGUACUAUGUCUCGUUUAUUGACAUGAGUAGUAGAUUUACCUUGGUUUAUUUGUUAAAACGUAAAUCACAAGCAGUGGAUUGUUUUCUACAGUUUCAGAAAAUGAUACUUACUCAGUUUGGGAAGUCUAUAAAGAAAUUUCAGAGUGAUUGGGGGGGAGAGUUUCGUGCUUUUGCUUCCGUACUAGCAGAUCAUGGGAUCAUUCAUCAAAUUACCUGUCCUCACACUUCGGAACAAAAUGGUGUUGCUGAGCGUAAACAUCGACACAUUAUGGAGACUGGUCUCACUCUUCUGGCUCAAGCUAAUUUACCUAUGGCUUAUUGGGGGUAUGCUUUCUGUAGUGAGGUCCAUCUCAUUAAUUGUCUCCCUACUUCAGUUUUGAAGGGUAACUCCCCGUAUCAAAAUCUGUUUGGUCAUGCCCCAACCUAUGAUCAUCUUCGGGUAUUUGGUUGUUGUUGUUUUCUACAUCUACGACCUUUUGUCAAUCAUAAGCUUGAUUUUCACUCACAGCCGUCUACUUUUCUUGGGUAUAGUUCGCAACAUAAGAGAUAUUUUUGUUUAACACCAGAUGGUAAGGUCAUUAUCUCUAGACAUGUUGUUUUUGAUGAGUCCAGGUUUUUGUUUCCUGUCGCUCCGCCAUCAGGUGAUCUGACUUCUCCGUGUACUACUACCUAUGUUCCUGUUGUGCGUUCUUUUUCUUCUCCUGAGCCUAGUAGAGUUCUUGACACUAGGGUGUCUUUAACCAGUCAGACUCGUGUGGUGUCUCAUUCUGCUCCAUGUGAUACUCGAUCAGCUUUUCCAGUCAACCCAAUGUCUGCAACGGGGUCUAGUGCAUGACCCGAUCUUUCCUCUCCUAGAGGUGUUUCGUCUUCUCCUGCACAAGUUUCUGUUCAUGCUAUUUCAACUACUAAUACUCAUGCUAUGGUUACUCGGUCUAAGGCUGGGGUGUUUAAACCUAAGGCGUUGGCUAUGGACAUUGUUGAGUCGGAGCCCGUUUCUGUUAAGGAGGUUCUUGCUCAUCCAGAUUGGUGUCUAGCGGUGCAAGCUGAAUACGAUGCUUUAAUUGCUAACUCUACAUGGGAACUUAGUCCUCUUCCUCCUCGACGUAAAAUAAUUGGGUGUAAAUGGUUGUUUAAGGUGAAGACUAAUCCUAAUGGGACAGUUACUCACCGAAAGGCCCGAUUAGUGGCCAAAGGCUGUUCUUAGGUUCCUGGCUGUGACUUCACGGAAACGUUAAGUCCGAUUGUGAAAUCGGCCACGAUCUGAACCAUUCUGUCUAUUGCUGUGUCUGAAGGAUGGUCUCUACGACAAGUUGAUGUAAAUAAUGCCUUCUUAAAUGGAGAUUUGACUGAUGAAGUUUUCAUGCAGCAACCCCCUGAGUUUGUUCAGUCUGGUUCAAAUGGAGAAAGACUUGUGUGUCGCCUGACAAAAGCUUUGUAUGGUCUACUGCAAGCUCCGUGUGCCUGGUUUAACAAGUUAAAAUAGUUUCUUGUGUCUGCUGGGUUUGUUCUUUCUAAAUCAUAUGCUUCUUUGUUUGUCAGAUCUUUCUCUGAGUUUACGCUGUAUGUGCUUGUCUAUGUCGAUGACAUUGUUGUCACUGGCAGUUCAUCUGACGAAAUUAAUUGUUUUGUUCAGCAGUUACAUAAUGAGUUUGCUUUAAAGGAUAUGGGUGAGCUCCAUUAUUUUUUGGGCAUUAAAGUGAGUAGGUCUUCCUCUGGCAGUCUUCACUUGUCUCAGCGCAAAUACAUUCGAGAGCUUCUUGCUCGAAGUUUUAUGUCUAAUGCCAAAAGCGUUCAUACGCCAAUGGUAAGUUCUUCUAUGUUGUCUAAAAAUGAGGGUGAACCACUGGCUGAUCCGAUUGAAUAUCGCAGUCUUGCGGGGGCACUUUAGAAUAUUGUUCAAACUCAACCUGACAUAGCAUAUGCUGUUAAUCGGGUGUGUCAAUUUAUGCAUGCACCUACUACUUCUCAUAUGGUGGCCUUAAAAUGGAUUUUGUGAUAUCUAUGUGGUACUCUUUCUCAUGGGCUGAUUUUUCACCGAUCUGAUCGUCUCUCUUUGGUCGGUUAUGCUGAUGCUAAUUGGGGUCUUGAUUUUGAUGAUCGGCGGUCUACUACGGGGUACUGUGUCUAUUUUGGUCAUACUCUUGUUUCGUGGUGUUCUAAAAAGCAGUCGGUUGUUUCUCGCUCUACGACUGAAGCUGAAUAUCACAGUCUUGCGGUGGCCACUAGUGAUAUUACUUAGCUAGCCUCCUUAUUAGCAGAACUGAAUGUCAAGUCCGUUGAUCUACCGACAGUAUGGUGUGAUAAUUCUAGUGCUGUGGCUGUUACAGCUAAUCCGGUUCUUCACUCUAAGUUCAAACAUGUUGAACUUGACUUGUUUUUUGUUCGUGAGAAGGUGGCUAGUGGCGACUUGAUUGUUGGUGAAGUUCCAGCCUGUGACCAAGUGGCGGAUAUACUUACUAAGCCGUUAUCAGUGUCUCUAUUUAGUUGUUUUCGUAGUCUUCUUCGGGUGUUGCCACUUGACGAAGCUGGGUGAAUGUUAGAGUGAUAAGUCAGGUGGUUAGUUUGUUAGGGUUUGUUAACGAGUUGUUAAGUAAGAGUUAGACCUUAAUUUCUCCUAUAUAUAGAGCUGCGUAUACUGUACUGAAGUAAGCUAAAUUCUACAAAUUGUUAUCUUUAUUAUUCUUUCCAUUUCUUCCUUAGAAUCUCUUCAUUCUUUUGAUAUUCUAGCAGCAUGGUGCCAUUUGUUGGUAGCGGCAACCAUAUAGACCUACCAACAAUUUUGACCUACGUCACUCUCUUCUCUCACAUCCUAUUUCUAUCUUCAGGCUUUAAACCCUCCUAUUUUCUUGUUCCUCGAGUGUUUUAAGAUUUGAAUGAUAAGGUUUAGUGUAACAACUUAUUUUCAGUGGUAUUAGGAAUUAAUUUUUGAGACCUCGACUCCGAUUAGUAUAUUAUUUUAUUAUUUAACUAGUAUUUGGAUGGUCAUGGUAGUGUCGUAUAAAAAUUUGGUGUGUUAAUUUUGUCGUUGAUUAUUUUAAUUAAGUAAAAGCGUAAAACAUAAAAGCUGCAAAAGUUUAAUAUUAUUAGUUAAUUGUAUUAAUUUUAUAAUUUUAUAUAAAAUCUAGGAUAAUAUACAAUUCAAACUCUUUAACAUUUUAACUUAAUCAUUUUAAUUAAAAUUUCAUUAGUAUAAUUUAAUUUAUCACAUGAAUUAAACUUGGAAUAAUUUAUGUUUUAAUCCUUGAACUUAAUUGUUUUUCUUAAAUUGAUACCUAUCCUUAAAUUUGGUCAACUAUAUUUUAGCCUUUGAAAUUACUUUAUAUUAUGAUGCUAUAAUUAAGAGUGAAAUGAUGUCAUUCACUUUGAGAAUUCAUGUGCCAAAUUGUUUUUUUUUUUUACUUUAAUCCUAAAUUUAUUUUUAAUUGAAGUCUAGAAUUCAUGUGCCAAAUUGCGUUUAGUUACCUUUUGAGUGUGAAAUGAUCUCAUUGACCCUUACUUAAAAUUUUUUUUAAUUGAAGUCGAGAAUUCAUGUGCCAAAUUGCCAAAAUAUUACCUUUUUUUUAUACCUUUCAAGUGUGAAAUGAUCUCAUUCACCCUUACUUCAAUUUUAUUUUUAUUUGAAGUCGAGAAUUCAUGUGCCAAAUUGUGUUUUUUUACCUUUGCAUUUACUUUAAAAUAUCAUAAAAUAAUUUAGGUAUGAAAAUAUUUUAUUCACUUUAACUACAAAAAAGACAUUAUUUUAAUUGAACACAAGAAUGGAUGCACCACGUUGUUUUUUGUACGUUCUUUUAUGGAUCUGUAAAAGGCCAAAUAAUGAGUAUUGUCAAUCCCGCGGAGACUUACUGUCCCAGGCAUUUAUUUUUUAGUCAAAUUUGGAAAUGUCAAACCAUUUAAAUUUUAUAACGUGCACACAUUCUCUUUUAUUGCUUAAAAUUGAAAUGGUAGUACAGUUUUAGAUUUAGUUUGUAUUUUUUUAAUUUAAUUAUUUUGACUUUUUUUAUAUUUUUGAAAUUUUAGAAUUUUAAUAUUGAUGUAAAUAAUAAUCUUUAAUUUAUAGUCUCUCCUCAGUCUAUAAAUAGGAGAACAAUGCGCUUCAGCGCAUUCGAACUCAUAUCUUCUUUUAUUGACAAUAAUACUUUUGUCGAUCAAGUUAAGACUCAGUCAGCACAUCUAAGAUGUUUUAUACACAGUUAAAUUAGAAUUUAAUAUUUUAUGUACAUAAAUUUAAAUUUAUAUAUUUAUAUGUUGUACUAUUUUGACAUGAUGAAGGGUAUUUUUAUGAAAAAUAUCGACCUCAAACUUUUUUGGUCCGUAUGAUUUAUAAUGUUAUUAGUUAGUAACUAGUUAAUAUAUUAUUGACUACUUUAAUUGGAUUUUUUACAUUGAUUUUUUUUAAAUGACUACUCUAAAAAAAAAAAGAUUUGGGCAUGAUGUGUUGGGAUAAUUUUUUUUUUAUCCAUAUUAGUGCUUGAAAUUAUUAAGGGUGCUAACUAUUUGGAUCAAUUAAUGACAUUGUAAGGAUAAAAUUACAGUUUCUAUCCCUUUACUAUGCUCAUAUUUUGGAUUUAAUCUUUAUAUUUUAAUUCAACGUAAUUUGGUUAUCCACUUUUAAAAUGGCAGUAGUUAGCCCAAAUAACAUCCAUGACUAUUUUGAUUAAAAUGAUUAGGUGAAUUUCUCUUAAGAAUACCUUUCUAACAUACGCACACACAAAAAAAAUUACGUAUUUAUGCAUGAAGUUAGAAUAGAUAUUUUUAAGAAAAAAAUUGACUUCAAUGUUUUGACCAAAAUAAUCAGGCAUAUCAAUUAUUUUAACUAACUAAUAAUAUUAUGUAAAGUAGCUAAAUUAUAUCAAAUUGAAGUAUAAAUAAUAAAUCCAAUAGGGAAAAGAAUCAAGGUUGAUUUGAAAGACAAUGUAAAGAGGGAAAGAAGUAAUCACUUUCUAUUUAAUUCACGACUCUUUUCGAGAUUUACGAAAGAGAAAAUUAAUUGGAUUUUCCACUAAAAAAUUCACCUUUGGUAUCAAAAUAAUAUAAAUAACGCCCUUCAAUAUUUUCUUAAAAACUUGGGAAUAAGAUCAUCAUAAAAUCAUCUGUUAUAGUCGUGUGGAUGCCUUUUUUAAUUGAUACAUGUUCUUAAGCUCGUCAAAUACAUACACAACUUCUCAAGCUCUCAAAUCUGUUUGCAUCUAAGGCCUUUGUGAACAGAUCAACUAACUGGUUUUGGGUGGAUACAUACUUUAAUUCAAUUGUCCCAUUCUCCACCAAUGAUCUCAAAUAAAAUUAUGUCUAAUGCUAAUGGGUUUGGUUUUGGAAUGUUGCAUUGGAUUCUUCGAAACAUUGAUGGCACUAGUAUUGUUACAAUAAGCUAUAGUUACUAGUAGGACAAUGCCAAAGUUUCUAACAUUUGCCUCAUCCAUAAUAACUGAGCACAACAACUCCUUGUUGCAAUGUAUUCUGCUUCAACAGUAGAAAGGAAGAUGGAACUUUGUUUCUUAUUACACCAUGACACAAGAUUACCUCCUAUGUAAAAACAUCCUCUUGGAGUGCUUUUCUAAUGGUCCAUGUUCCCAACCCAAUCAACAUCAUUGUAUCCAACUAGGCACAUCGAAUUAUCUUUAGUAAACUAAAUGCCAAGCUCUAGGGUUCCAUAAACAUACCUAGUGAUUUUUUUAACACCUUUGACAUGUGACUCUUUUGGAUUGGCCUGGUAUCGUGCACAAAUACCCACACUAAAGCUCAAAUCCAGUUGUGUUGCAAUAAAAAUAUAGUAGACUUCCAAUUAUGCUCUUGUAAGUGGUCUGGGGAGUGGAAACUCCCUCAGUGUUAAAACACAGUUCAUCAUUGUUGGAUCAUCGGUAUGCCCCAUGAUGCAACGAAAAUGAUCCACAACCCCAGUCUUACUAUCCAGAUUGGGGUGAAGAUUAGAACAAAUAUGAGGAGGACCCAUCACUUGUUGCUCGUGUUAGUGCAUUGGAGGAUGGUAUGUCUUUGUGCAAAAUUUCCAUGUCCUCUAUGUCCAAAUAAAUGGAAUAGUUAUUGGAACUUGUCAAAUGCCGAUUUGAAGUGGACACUCCAAAAGAAGAGGUUGAGCAUGAUGUUUUCAACUCUAAAGAUGAAGGCCACUUUAUUAUUGUUAAGCAUGAAAAGUUGAACGUGGAUGUUUAACAAGAUUUUGGAAUUGGAGACCAUAAUGAAGACUUGAAUGUGAAAGAAAGUGUCUCUAGUCCAAUUGACAUAGGAUUAAGAGUAGGAGUUGAUGUAGAAUUAGAUGCUGAAGAGAAGCUUAAACCAAAACUGAGGUCACGACAUGAGGAUGUGAAGUCGCGACUAUAUGAUAUGAUGUCACGACAAGAGAAACAAAGACAAAAUCAAGGCAUCCAAGUCAGUACGUCAUGUUGUGAAGAGACAAAUCUUGAUGUUGCGACGAGCUACCUUGAAGUCGUGACAACACUAAUUGAGGCUGCAAUGAGCUCUGAUGUACUAGCCCUGGUAAUUGAAAUCUAGAUACAAGGUCACGAUGAGUAGGAUUUUAAUGUCGUGACAGGGUGACAAAUUUAAAACUCUAUCAUCCCGAUGUUUGCAUUUAAACAGUGUAAGGCCCAAUUUUGGCCUGGGCCCUUGCAAACACAAAACAAACAAAAACCAAAGUGAAAAAUACAGAAAUAAAAACCCAAUAAUUAUUAUUAACAAUCCAUCAGUCUAAAAUUACUACAAUGGCCCAUAGUCCAUUUACAAACAAACCCAGACCCAAAGUUACAAGGCCCAAAUGGCCCAAAAGACUUUAGAAACAGAAACCCUAGGGUUUCUCUCCCUUGCGCCGCAGCCUUCAGCCACCGUACAGCCCCAACGCCGCUCGUGUCUCUCCGUCAACAGGCCGUACGCCAGCCUUACGCCUAGUGCCAGCGCCAUGCUCCCGUACCUGCAAAAAAAAAAAGACAAACAGAGCAGCAGCAAAUGGGAAAUAACGAAAGAAUUGUAUUUUUAUUUUUUUGAUUUUCUUUCUUUUCGGCUAUAAAGCCAAGGUUUUUAAUCUUUUUAACCGGUUACAAAAAACACGAUUUACGCACACAAAAAAAGGAUGCACAAAAAAGCAAUCAAAUAGCAGAGGUGAUUUCUUUUUUCCUCCAAAUCUCUUUAGCUUUCUAUGCAUUGUUUCGUUCUCUGUUUGGGUCAUUCACCAUUGUUAUAAAAAUAUAGAAAGAACGGUGACAGAGGAGCCUUACCGUGCGAGCAGGCCAUGGAUUUCUCCUCCUUUCUUCGUCGAAAUCGAAGUUGAGGAGGGAUUUCGGGCUAAGAUUCCUCCAGACGCAAAGAACCCCACCUGGUGAAGAUGAAUCGGCAUUGGAAGGAGAGAGUUUAAGGCUGACGAUUAGGGAGAGAGGCUAGGGUUCUUGAUUCGGCUGAAUAUGGUCUGGAUUGAGGCUUUUAAAGAAUAAAAAACGGCACCGUUUGGGCCUAUUUCAAUGGCUCCAAAACGGUUCCGUGUGAUUAUGCCCGACUCGAUCCGCCCCCUUUACCCUUGGGAUCCGCGUGUUUCUGUGGGGAGCAAUAAUUGCAACAUAAGUCCUCCUCUUUUGCGCUGUAUUUCAAUCAGCUAUUUUGUAUUUCUUUUGUUUUUUUUAAAUUCACCCUGUAAAUUUGCGCAUGAGUGCAAUUUAAUCCGCGCCUAAACACUGCGUUUUGAGAGCUGGAUUAUUUCCAGUCUAAGUCCUUACGCAUUUGUGCGCUUCGCACUUUGGUCCUCUUUUUGAUUAUUUUAUUUAUAAAUUAGCCCAUUCAUUCUAAUUGUAUUUUAAUUAGACCCCUUUGAUUUGUAUAAUUCUUUUUUAUUCCACUCGAUUUUUAUCAUGUUAUUUUGAAAUGUUUUUUUGUAUAAUAUAUCCUUUAAAUGUUCUUAUAUACUAUUAAGUACAUGUAGUUCAUGAUAAAGUUGGAUUUUAUUCUAUAUACCUUAUUAAUUCUAUGUUACUUCACAUAUAUUAUUUCUUUUGAAUCUAUUUGCAUAUGUGUUAAAACCUUAUGUAUAUAAAACUUAUUUUAUCAUACUUUUUUUUUGUUUUUUAAAAAACCUUUCAUAUCUUUUUUAAUAUUCUUUAUUAUAUGUGUAUGGUCUAUUUUGAUAUUUCAUUUAAAAAAAAACGUUUUGUACAUUUUUUUUUCUUUUUUUUUGAAUUAUUAUAUCAUAUAAUCAUUUUGAAAUUUUCUUCAUGUAAUUUUAUGUUUAAAAGAUUUAUAUAAUAUUUAUCUUCAUAUAUCAAUAUUUAUAUAUACAUACACAUGAUUUAUAGCGAAUUACUUAUUUAAAUCCUCUUUUGAAUAUGUUCAUAUUUUUUAAUUUUUACUUUUAUAUAUUCUUUAUUUCUUUUAAAUCCAAUCUUGGUAUUAUAUAUUUUGUUUGUUUCAAAUAUUUUUCCUACAUUAUUAUCCUUUUGUAUAUGCAUUGUUUAUAUUAAGCUUUUUACUUCACGAAUAUUAAUUAUUGUGGAUGAAUAAAUCUUGUUUCAAAUUAUUUUUGUACAAUCACUAGUUUCAUAUUACAUGGUUAGUAGUUCAUAUACAUUUUUUUAAAUAUUUUGAUACGGUUAUACUCAUAUAAUCUAUUUAUCUUAAAACUUUUUAACAUGUACGUCAUUGGUUUAAAAAUUUAUAUUGACAUCCAUUACCAUAUUUAUGUAUAUUAUAUAUAAUCGAUAAAUUUUGGGUUUAAAUCGUUUUGUAUAGUUUUCUUUUCAAAAUUCUUCUUAUAAUACUAUUUUUGAAAUUCAUUUAUAUGUUAAAGUAUAUAUAUUAUUUACUCUAUAUUUUUAUUGUUUGAUGUUCUAACUCAAAUUUUUAUGCGUAUAUACAUAUUCCAAGUUUCUAUGAAAUAUUUCGAAUUCUAGCAUAUGCUAGCUUUUAUGAUCUAUUUAUUUUAUAUCAUGCUAUGUACAUUAUUGUGGCAUAUUAUUGUGUGUAUUAUUUUGGCUGUGUUGAAUUGUUAUAUUAUUAUCUUCGUCAUUGUAUUAUUAUGUCAAUUAUUUCUCAUGCAUGAUUGCAAUCGGAUUAUAUUUUUAGGUUAGUUAUACUUAAUUUUUAGUUCGUUAAUUGAUUGUAUCUCAUGUGCGUAUUAUCCCAUAUCAUAGUUUUCACUUGGUUUAUGAAAUUUGGUUUUAUAAGGUCCAAAUCUUUAAGAUUAAUUCCGUUUUAUUUCAAGUCGAAUUAACGCGUUUUAAGCUAGUUUUAUGAUUAUUCCUUUAAAAAUUCUUUAAAACGAAAGCGAUGUCCGAUAUUUGGCAAUCGGCGAAAUCGUGCCCUAACGUGCUGGGUUGCAAUUUCUCGUUUGCUCAAAAUAAUUGAAUGUCCUUUAGAAUUUCAUUCAUGUUUUCUAAAAACUCUUUAAAAUGAAGGAAAUGUUCGAUGUUUGGCAAUUCGGGGAAUAGUGCCCUAUCGUGCUGGGUUGCGAUUUCUUGUUUGUUCAAAAUAAUCGAAUAUUCCUUUAGAAUUUCACUCAUGUUCUCCAAAUUCUAAAAUAAGGCAAUGUCCAAUGUCUAGAUGUUGGAAUUCCUAAGAUUAAGGACAGAAAACUUACCUUAUUACUAGGAGUUCCCUUGUAAAUAGAAACUAAUCUCAAUCACUGAUUCUUAGGAAGUUACUAUUUUUUCGGGAUUGUUUUCCUUGUUUGUGUGAAUUCCUCUCUUUAUAGGUGUAAACUAAUUAGCAGAAUUAAUAAUAAUUUUUUUUCUAAGUUUCUUCAUGGUAUCAGAGUUUUAGGAUUCAUUCGAUCCUGCUCAUUCGUCUCUAAUCUCCCUUCCUAAACAUCCCUCCGGUUUAGUCCUCCUCCCAUUGGUGAUGUUAAUGAAACUCUGUCUGAAACUUAGACUUCACAAAUAACUCAGAAUGUCAAUCAGGGAAUCAUUCAAGGUGAACUUAAUUCCUCCCUUAUAAUCACCAAUCAUCAGUUAGAUCGGAAGAGCUUCUUGCAAUGGUAUCAAUCGGUCCAUAAGGUGAUUCGUGGUCGUGGCAAAUUAGGAUAUAUCAAUGGAGAAAUUCUACGACCAACCACUGCUGACCCGACUUAUGCCACUUGGGAACUCAACAAUUCGAUUGUAAUGGCUUGGCUAAUUAAUUCGAUGGAAGGCCAUAUAAGCCGUACCUAUCUCUUUUUCAAAAUUGCAAAAGACAUGUGGGAUGCAGUCAAAGAAAACUACUCGGAUCUUAGAAACGCCUCUCAAGUAUUUGAGAUCAAGCUUAAGUUAAAGGAUAUCCGGCAAGGGACACUCGAGGUAACUCACUACUACAACAAUCUGAAAAUUUUAUGGCAGGAACUGGAUAUGUACUAUGAGGCAGAUUAGGGUGAAGGCUUGGAACACACUAAUUUUAUGACUCACUUCAACAAAGAACGUCUUUAUGAGUUUCUAGCAGGACUUAACCGUGAGUUAGAUAAGGUCCGUGGCUGAAUUCUGGGCAGAUCACCUCUACCAACCAUCGUUGAAGCAUUUGCAGAGUUAGAAGAAAAGAAAAGCGCCAUUUUGUCAUGAUGGGAGACUCAAAAGAACCUAAACAUGUGACAACUCUUGGCAAUCGGUCUACUAAGACCUUUGCCCUCAUCUCUAGAGGUCCACAGCCACAAAAACCAUUUGCUGGAAAUGAUUCUGGAUCAACCAGGCCAUGGUGUAACCACUGCAACCGUGUUGGUCAUACAAAGGAAAAGUGCUUCAAACUCCAUGGCUAUCCUGAAAAAAAAACAGAAGGAUAAUAAGACUGCCCUGUUAUCCUCCACUGCUGCAGAUGAUGUUCUCGAUGUUCGCCUAACCAAAACCCAAUUUGAGACUCUCCAUAAGAUACUUGGUACUUCCACUGCUCAUGGAUCUCUAGCCACCCAAGGUACUGCCCUCAAUAUUGCCUUUGAAUCAAAUAAUCAAUCCUCUUGGAUACUCGAUUCGGGUGCCUUCGAUCACAUGACAGGUAACUCCACUUUGUUUCACACCUAUACCCCUUGUCAUGAUAAGUCCCGAAUCCGCAUAGCUGAUGGUUCUUACUCACCUGUGGCUGGAGUAGGAGAAGUACAAAUAACAGAGAAUUUUUCCCUCGAUAAAGUCCUACAUGUCCCAAACUUGUCCUGCAAUUUACUUUCAAUCAGUAAACUUACUAAGGAUGAAAACUUCUUGCUGAAUUUUCUGCAAUUGGUUGUGUGAUACAAGAACAGAAAUCGGGGAGGAUGAUUGGCACUGCAAAAGUUGAUGAUGGACUAUAUGUUUGGAAUAAAGACAGCACACAAUGAGGAUUGGCUCUAUCCACUUCAAAAGAGGACACGAUUAUGUUAUGGCACCGUAAGUUAGGGCAUCCAAACUUUUUGUAUUUGAAGAAACAUCUUCUGCUAUUAUUUCGAAAUAAAAGUAUUAAUUCCUUGAAGUGUGAAAUUUGCCAAUUAUCCAAACAUACCCGUGUGCCAUACCCAUUAAAACCAUAUAUCCAGUCUCAACCAUUUUCAUUAAUCCACAGUGACCUAUGGGGAGCCAGCCGAGUGAAAAAUAUUACAGGGGCUAAGUGGUUUAUAACAUUCAUUGAUGACCACACUAGGGUAUGUUGGGUCUAUCUCUUCAAAGAAAAAUCUGAAACACCCAAAGUAUUCCAAAAUUUUCACUCAAUAGUUUGAACCCAGUUCAACUCUACCAUACAUACUCCCCACACUGACAAUGGGAGAGAAUACUUUAACUCUGUCAUAAGCCCAUACCUUUCUGACCAAGGCAUCAUACACCAAAGCUUUUGUCCUAACACUCCUCAACAAAAUGGGAUCUCCGAGAGAAAAAAUCGACAUCUCAUUGCUGUAGCUCUAGCCAUAAUGUUCACCAUGAAUGUUCUAAAAUACUUGUGGGGAGAGGCUGUCCUCACUGCCUGCUAUCUCAUAAACCGAAUGCCAUCAAAGGUCCUCAAUUUCCAAACACCUCUAAAUACCCUUCUAAAGUCAUUUCCUCUAUUUCGUGUUCCUAAUCUUCCAGCCAAAAUAUUCGGUUGCAAAGUUUUUGUCCAUAACCAUCAACCAAAUCAAUCCAAACUUGAUCCUCGAGCCCACACCUGCAUCUUCAUUGGAUAUUACCCCACACAAAAA